rnacentral:lncRNA from 1 species
AAAGAUUGUCGUUGUAGUGUUGCGUUGAUGAUGACGAAGGUUUUUCGUGAGGGUUGGUGGCCGGAGGGUUCGACGGUCGUGUGGGGGUUUGGAGGAUUGUGUUGAGCGGCGAUUUUGACGGAAGAUGAAGGUAAAAGGGUUUCGUGGUGGUGGUUGCCGCGGAUUCGCCGGUGAAUGAAGGAUAUUUCGGUGAGGGUUUACGGCGGAUACGGUAAUGAAGGGAGCUGGGUAUAGGCGAUGAAGGAAGGGUUUGGGUAGGUGACGAUGAGGUUGUUGUUGUUGAAGGAGAAGAGGUGGAUGGCGGCGGUAGGUUAGUGAAGAGGUUGGUCGCGAUUGGGGUUUGUUAGUGAGAGAUUUCUUUGUGAGAGAGGGAGAGUGAGGUUAGCGUGAAAUGGAAGAGAGGUAUUUUAGAGAGUGAUUCAGAGUGAGUGAAUAGUGUAUUUAGUGAAUUUUUUUUUGUCUUUUUCUUUUCCUUCGUACAGUAGAGAGAGAGAGGAGGUAGUUGUAGUGGAAUGGUAGUGGAGCAGACAGUGGGUGGAGGAGAAUGAGAGACGUUGGAGUAUUUUGAAUUUUGUUUUUAUCUGUAUUGGAAUCCAAUGUAGAUAUACCUAUAUUUUACUAUUACAAAUUAUUAUUUACUAUAAAUCAAAAAAACUAAUUAAUACUAAAAAAAACUAAUUAAUAUCUUAAAAACUCUAAAUAUCAUUUUUUUUUAAAAAACUAACUAAUAAUUUCUAAACUAACUAAUAUUUAAUACUAAUUAAUAUUUAGAAAAACUAAUUAAUAUAAAAAAUAAUACUCUAACUAAUAUUUUACAAAAUCUAACUAAACAAACUAAUUAAUAUUUAUAUAAACUAACUAACUUAAUUAAAUAACUAAAAUAAAAAAAACUAACUAAUUUUCAAAUAUCUAGACAAAAGAAAAUUACCAAUUAAAAAAUGAGUACAAAUUAUUCGGAAAAUUAAAUAAAUCACAGUCUUUCUUCAAAUCUUGACAAUUCAACCGAUUUUUUUAUUCUCAAAUAAAUUCCCCCUGAUUGAUAUUUCCGGCAUUUAUUCAUGAUGCAAAUGUGUGUCAUGUUAUGUGUAUGAUGCAAAAAUGAAACUGAAAUUAACUUUGAAAAGAAAUUAAAAUAAGCUCGGACAAAAUUGGGGUACGACANNNNNNNNNNNNNNNNNNNNNNNNNNNNNNNNNNNNNNNNNNNNNNNNNNNNNNNNNNNNNNNNNNNNNNNNNNNNNNNNNNNNNNNNNNNNNNNNNNNNNNNNNNNNNNNNNNNNNNNNNNNNNNNNNNNNNNNNNNNNNNNNNNNNNNNNNNNNNNNNNNNNNNNNNNNNNNNNNNNNNNNNNNNNNNNNNNNNNNNNNNNNNNNNNNNNNNNNNNNNNNNNNNNNNNNNNNNNNNNNNNNNNNNNNNNNNNNNNNNNNNNNNNNNNNNNNNNNNNNNNNNNNNNNNNNNNNNNNNNNNNNNNNNNNNNNNNNNNNNNNNNNNNNNNNNNNNNNNNNNNNNNNNNNNNNNNNNNNNNNNNNNNNNNNNNNNNNNNNNNNNNNNNNNNNNNNNNNNNNNNNNNNNNNNNNNNNNNNNNNNNAAUCACCAUCACCAAAAGGAUGAAGGUAUUGUUAAACGACAAAACUUAGUUACCACCAAAAGGAUGAUAAUAAGCACACACGCAAUUGAUCACCAUCACCAAAAGGAUGACAGUAGGAUCAAGACACAACUUGUUAUCACCAAAAGGAUGAUAAGAAGUCAACAAUCACCAUCACCAAAAGGAUGAAGGUAUUGUUAAACGACAAAAACUUAGUUACCACCAAAAGGAUGAUAAUAAGCCAACAAUCACCAUCACCAAAAGGAUGAAGGUAUUGUCAAACGACAAAACUUGUUAUCACCAAAAGGAUGAUAAUAAGCACACACGCAAAUGAUCACCAUCACCAAAAGGAUGAAGGUAGGAUCAAGACAAACUUGUUAUCACCAAAAGGAUGAUAAGAAGCCAACAAUCACCAUCACCAAAAGGAUGAAGGUAUUGUCAAACGACAAAACUUGUUAUCACCAAAAGGAUGAUAAUAAGUACACACGCAGUUGAUCACCAUCACCAAAAGGAUGAAGGUAGGAUCAAGACACAAACUUGUUAUCACCAAAAGGAUGAUAAGAAGUCAACAAUCACCAUCACCAAAAGGAUGAAGGUGUUGUUAAAACGACAAAACUUGUUACCACCAAAAGGGUGAUAAUAAGCUGACAACACAAAUGAUCGCCAUCACCAAAAGGAUGAAGGUAAGAUCAAGACACAAACUUGUUACCACCAAAAGGAUGAUAAGAAGUCAACAAUCACCAUCACCAAAAGGAUGAAGGUAUUGUCAAACGACAAAACUUAGUUACCACCAAAAGGAUGAUAAUAAGUCGAUAGUCACCAUCACCAAAAGGAUGAAGGCACUACAACACAACAGAACUCGUUAUCACCAAAAGGAUGAUAAUGAAUCCACAAUCACCAUCACCAAAAGGAUGAAGGUGAGAUCAUAACUUCAAAACUUGUUACCACCAAAAGGAUGGUAAUAAGUUACAAUAACUGCGAAUAUUGCUGACACCAAAAGGAUGACAGUGGGGGUUGGAUUUUUUCAAAUGUCACCAUCACCAAAAGGAUGACAGCUUAAACUGAACUCCCUAGUCUCUAUUAUCAAAAGGAUAACUGGACGUCAUCACCAAAAGGAUGAUGAUUGAACCAAAAGAUUGCUUAUCAUCAUAAGGAUCGCCGACACCAAAAGGAUGACGGUAGGCUGUAAUAAUUGUAGAGGUCACCAUUCACCAAAAGGAUGAAGGUUGGACCAAAACUUCAAGGAUCUUCGACACCAAAAGGAUGACAGUAAGAUCACAAAUGUCAAGAAUUUACCAUUACCAAAAGGAUAACGGUUACAGUGAUCAAUAUUAUUCCUCAAUGGACUUUCACCAAAAGGAUGAUAGUGAGAAAAAUAUUGGAAAAGCAAGGCUACUGUCAAAGUUCAGUGAACCUGAUUUUGUUGGGUAAUGUUGGAAUAUUGUUGGGUAAGACUUGCUUGGGGUGUUGACAACAAAAGGUUGCAGACCAAUAUUCUCUGGGGGGAUGUAAUUUCUGUCAACAAAAGGUUACAGGAAACGACUUGUUAAGAGACGCUCAACGCGAAACAAGGUAAGUGUUUGGAGAAACAUUGUUUGACUAAGCUGAGGACAACGCCUUAUCAACAAAAGGUUGAAAGAUGUAACUCAAUGGGGAACGCCUGAUAGCAGGGUAGGAACUCACUCAGAGGAAGUGACAAUGACUCAAUUUAGGGUUGGCCUGGAUGUCUACGACUAAGCUCUGGAUUUUGAUUUGUGUUAUGUACAUGAAUGAUAUGUAUGCGUUAUGUAUGAGGUGAUGCAUGUGAUGCAUGUGAUGCAUGUUUGAAUGCAAAUACUGAUUGGCUUGUUUGGGAUUGGCCCCCCUUUGCAAAGGCGAUGUAUUUUCUGGAAACCAGUAUUGGUUGUAUUUGUUUUUAUGUGGAAUGCCAACAAGGUGGGCUUUGGUUUUUUUUUUGUUGGUAAUUGUCAAUGUGACUUGGACUGUUUGGUGAAAGGAUCUGACUUCCCGACACUCGGUAUUUGAUGAUCUGAUGAACACGCAAUAGAUGCAGAUACUCUUGGUGCCCCAAGUUUGAUCUCUUGCUGAUAUGUUUGCGUCUUUGUCUUUGAGAGGAUCUCGAUUUCUUCUUCUAAAGUGUUUGGCCAGCCUGUAACUGAGCAUAGCGACGUGAUCAACGCAUGAUGAUUGUGCUUUUGACGUGCCCUAAGGAUUCUUGUCAACAUAUGAAGUUGUACUGGUAUGAACUUUCGACAUUUUGUUUGUGAAUUCAAGCAGGCACUGCUGUCUGAUGCAAUCUGCUUGACUGGCUUGACGAUAUGAAGGGAAUUCGUCCCUUGCAACUUGUCUUGCCCCAGAUUUAUAGGGUGUUCAAAGGAAUUCUCCUUGAAAGGAAACCUUGAGGAGUGAUUAUCCCAUGACAUGGUCUGAUUCUGUUUUUCCCAGUUCCUGAAUCUUGCAAUGGUCUGCCCCUGAUUAGCCUUUGGGGACUUGUCUCAGACAUACUGAGUAUUGAAGUGUUUUUCCUCCCUGAUCAACCGAUGCUUGGAGAUUUAUCUUAUACUGACUGCUUCUCAGGUCAACAUGAUCAGAAAAUGCCAUGCCCCUGAUUCACAGGAUGAUCUUGAUUCGUGUCAGCACCAACGAUCAAGUGCCUCUUGAAUUUCCCCUUGUUGGAAUUUUCUUGAUGUCAAGCACUGACUGACAAUUAAGAGUUGUUAUUCAAGAAAUGGUGAUUUUAAUGCAACAGUUAUGCAAGUUUUGAAAAACAACCAUUCAUUUUAGAAGUGUUGCGGUAGUGUGUGGCGAGUGGAUCAUGAGUCCAAACGCGGUGCUGAUUUUAGCUAGCGUGUGAGUGAUAUAGUGAGAAAAGAGUAUUAGCAAAUCUUUCGGAGUCAGUUUACUCAACAUUGCUAUAUUAUGCUUUCAGAACAAACCUUACUUCAAUUAGGUCUUUUGAGGGUUGUAACGUGGCUUGGUUCAUGGUUAUUGAAAUGAAAGGAUAUAAGGCUCAAAGUUUAUUUUAACCCACCCCUUCUUCAUGAUGAUCUCCACUCCUACGUUCAGUUAAUUCACACACAUUCACUUUUGCAGGUGUAAGGAUAAAGAUGGUGAUUCAAGGUCUCUUGGAAUGGCAGCCACCUUAUUUUGGUUUUCGGAUGUCGGUGACCGUUUUGAUUUUGGUAUGGUGGUCACUGAAUCUUGUUUUGUUUUGUUGGAGACUUUCAUUGUCUCUUUCAAUUUGUUUUGAUCCCUAACUUUUGCAUGGACCGCUUGUUGAAGCUUUAAUCCAUCGGGAUUGCCCCUGUUUUUGCCUAAGUCCCCUUUUAAGGUGUUGGACUUAGCGGGUUUUUUCUUUGAUUUUUUUUGAAUUGUGACUGCCAAGUCACUGGUCAUUGAAGAACAACCAACAUAAAAUUUGGAUUUGUAUGGUUUCUUCGACACUUCAGGAUGUGUGUGAAGAAUGUCAUAUGGUUGAUCUUUGUAUGAGAUAUUUCAUCUUCGUAAUUUGAAUGUGUAGUCAGAUUAACUGAACACUACCCUGCCCCAGGUUAAGCGUAAGGGUUUUUUAGAUCUGAAAGAAACUCCUACUUCUAGGCUCGAAGUGGUUGACUAGGGAUUAACUCCUUAUCUCUCCAGUGUUUGGGGAUUUGAAACAAAGCCUGUACAUCAUUAGUAGGAUUUUAUCUGAAAGCAUUCGAUCAGCAAUUAUGAGUAUUGUGUUUUCGUCAUCCUCCUUCCAACAUUUACUAACAAUAGUGUGAUAAAGGAGAAAGUGAGGUGAAAAAGUAUGUGUUUGUGAUUUGCAAAUGUGAUAAUAUUAGUGAGUAUGAAAGAUUGAUUCAAAAGCAUGCAUAAUCAUCCCAUUAAUAAGACCAGAUACAAAAUAACAAUGUUUUAAAGCAUACAAUACUUAAACAAACAAGAACAAAUUACAAGAAUGCAAAAUGAUAAAAAUGGCAUAAUGAUUGCCUUCAUUCAAAUGAACAGGACUUCAUCUCCUGAUUCUUUGUUGGGAUUGCUCUUCUUCUUCAGGCCGGUGAGAGGCUUUAUCUUCGAGCUUCACUCGACUCUACAUGCGCCGGCAUGGGGUUUGUUGCAACGUUUGGCCUCACUGGCGUGAAUGUAAGUGCCUUACUAUUAACCAGGUCUUGGACCUUGUGCUUGAAAGCCUUACAGUUCUCUAUUGUGUGCCCUGGGGCACCCAUGUGAUACUCACAGUGAGCAUUGGCGUCGUAGCCUGGAGGAUAUGGUGGAGUUGCAGGUGUUAACUCCUUCAGCACAAUUGAUCCAUCCUUUAGCAGGUAGGGGAGGAUCUCGCUAUAUGAUACUGGCAAAGGAUCGAAAUGUCUUUCUGGCCUCCUUGCCCUUUGCUGGUUAGGUUGACGUGGUUGUGGAGCACGUUGAUGUUGAUUUUGAUGUGGCUGCUGGUAAGCCGGCUGUUGAUGAGGUUGCUGAUAUUGUCGUUGAUAGGGUGUCGGGAUGACAGCGGCAACCUGAUCGUAAGGAAUAGGAGCAUAUGAAGGUGCCCUAUAUCCUCCUCCUCUCAUUAUGGCAUUGGUCUGACCUUCUGGCUUCUUUGGGAGAUUAGGAUAAGGCUUCUUCAUCCCACUUGAAGCAUUAGCGGCGCAGGGUAACUUUCCUUUCUUGAUUUGGCUCUCGAUUCGUUCUCCCACGGAGACAACCUCAGCAAAAGUUGGGAAGCUGGAUCCUACCAUUUUCUCCAUGUACUGGGUGUGCAGAGUUCCCAUAAACAUGUCAAUUAGCUCUUUGUCAAGGAGAGGAGGUUGAACGCGAGCUGCAAGCUCUCUCCAACGCUGUGCGUAUUCCUUGAAUGACUCAUUGUUGCGUUGAGUCAUGUCUUGCAGUUGGGUGCGGUUAGGUGCUAGAUCAGUAUUGUACUGAUAAUGCCUUAGGAAUGCUUCAGCAAGGUCUCUCCAUGUUUGGACCUGACCUCUCUCCAGUUGCAUGUACCACUCCAAGGAUGCCCCACUGAGGCUAUCUUGGAAGUAAUGAAUCAAGAGUUGAUCAUUACUGAUGUGGGCAGCCAUCUUGCGGCAAUAAGCUCUGAGGUGUGUUCUUGGGCAGCUGAUUCCCUUGUAUUUAUCAAAGUCCGGGACCUUGAAUUUUUGUGGAAUCACGAGUCCUGGUACCAGGCACAUAUCAACGGCGUCCAAACCGGGAGUAGUAUGUUGUACUGGUAUAAGCUUUCGACAUCUUGGCUGUGAAUUCAAGCAAUCACUACUAUCUGACGCAAUCUGCUUGAUUGUCUUGAAGAUAUGAAGGGAACUUGCCCCUUGCAACUUGUCUUGCCCCAGACUAGCCUUUGAGGGUCCUGCCCCAGGCGGGCUGAGUAUUGAAGUGUCUUUUUCCUCCGUGAUCAACCGAUGCUCGGAGAUUUGUCUUACACUGACCGUUUCUUAAGUCAAUGUGAUCAAAAGAUGCCAUGCCCCUGAUUCACAGGAUGGUCUUGAUUCGUGUCAGCACCAACGAUCAAGUGCCUCUUGAAUUGCCCCUUGUUUAGAAUUUUUUCAAUGUCAAGUACUGACUGACAAUUAAGAAUUGUUAUCCAAGAAAUGGUGAUGUUAAUGCAACAGUUAUGCAAGUUUUGAAAAACAAUCAUUCAUUUGGAGUGUUGUGGUAGUGUGUGACGAGUGGAUCAUGUGUCCAAACGCGGUGCUUGAUUUAGCUGGUGUGUGAGUGACAUAGUGAGGAGAGAAUAUUAGCAAAUCUUUGGGAGUCAGUUUACUCAACCUUGCUAUAUUAUGCUUUCAGAAUAAACCCUACUUCAAUUAGGUCUUUUGAAGGUUGUAACGUGGCUUGGUUCAUGGUUGUUUGAAACAAAAGGAUAUAAGGCUCAAAGUUUAUUUUAACCCACCCCUUCUUCAUGAUGGUCUCCAAUCCUACGUUCAGUUAAUUCACACACAUUCGUCUUUUGCAGGUGUAAGUAUGAAGAUGGUGAUUCAAGGUCUCUUGGAAUGGCAGCCACCUUAUUUCGUUUUUUGGAUGUCGGUGACCCUUAUAUUCAAUCAGGGGCAUUUAUUGAGAAUAAAAAAUCGGUUUGAAUUGUCAGAUUUGAAGAAAGACUGUGAUUUAUUUAAUUUUCCGAAUAAUUUGUACUUCAAUUUUUAAUUGGUAAUUUUCUUUUGUCUAGAUAUUUGAAAAUUAGUUAGUUUUUUUAUUUAGUUAUUUAAUUAAGUUAAUUAGUGUAAUAAUAUUAAUUAGUUUGUUAGUUAGAUUUGUAAAAUAUUUAGUAGAGUAUUAUUUUAAUAUUAAUUAGUUUCUAAAUAUUAAUAGUAUUAAAUAUAGUUAGUUUAGAAAUAAUUAGUUAGUUUUUAAAAAAAAAUGAAUUUAGAGUUUUUAAGAUUAAUUAGUUUUUAGUAUUAAUUAGUUUUUUGAUUAUAGUAAAUAAUAAUUUGUAAAUAGUUAAAAUAUAUGUAUAUUCAUUGAUUCCAGAUAACAAAAGAAAAACAAAUUCAAAAAUACUGUCUCACGUCUCUCUCAUUUCUCCUCCACCCACUGUCUGCUCCACUACAUUCACUACACACUACCUCCUCUUCUCUCUCUACUGUACGCAAGGAUAAAGAAACAAGACAAAAAAAAAACUUCACUAAUACACUGAUUCCACAUCACGAAUCAUUCUAAAAUGACCUUCUUCCAUUCACGCAACCCUCUCCUGCUGCCUGCUCUCUCACAAAGAUCUCUCACUAACAAAACCCCAUCGCGUAGACCCAACCUCUUCAUUCUUAACACUAUCCGCUCCGCCAUCCACUGCUUCUUCCCUUCACAACAACAACCUCGAUCGUCUACCUAACCAAACCCUUCCUUCAUCGCUAUAGACCCAGCUCCCUUCAUUCCGUUCCGCCGUAACCCUCAACGAAAUAUCACUCUCAUUCAGCACUCGCGAAUCGCCGCGUGCAAACCACCCAACGAAACCCUUUUACCUUCACUUCCGUCAAAAUCGCCGCCAGACACAAUCCUUCCAAACCCAUCACACGGACCGUCGAUACCCUCCGGCACCAACCUCCGAAAACCUUUCGUCCAUCAUCAACGCAACACUACAACGACAACUUUCGACCAUUUAGCUCCGAACUAAGAUUUCAACACUGGUGACGCACGUCAGCAUUUUUCCACUGUCAUCAACAAGCUCAGCGCAUAUCGGCGAACGCUCUCCGCAAUUAGGCAGCAACGAAAGAUCCGUGUUUGGUAACGAUUUCGAGUUUCUUCCAAAUGUAUCUAUUACAAUUUUGGAAGUUGAUUAAAUCACGUGUGUGUGUUUGCCUGCAAAACUGUUUUAAAAUUUCAAAGUUGUUUAUCUAGGAAGUGGUUUAUCUUCCGACUCGGCGUGUCGAUCGAAUGUCUUGUUGUUGCACUAGGAAUUGUAUUAUUUCAAGCUGUUUAUAGAUUUAAGUCGUUUUCGAUUCGGUUUAUUCAAGCUUUUUUGGGUUUUAAAUUGUUUUUGAUUUUGCGUUUAGGAUUGUUGGAUUUAAGCUGUUUUGGAUUCGGUUUUAUUUAAAGCUGUUAGGAUUUAAGCUGUUUUGAUUGUGAUUUAAGCUGUUUAGGCAUUUAAGCUGUUUUUGAUUCGGUUAUUAAGCGGUUUAGAUUUAAGCUGUUUUGAUUCGGUUAUUUUAAGCUGUUUAGAUUUAAAAAAGGGGUUGGUUUUUGAUUCGGUUUAUUUAAGCUGUUUAUGAUUUAAAGUUGUUUUGAUUUCGGUUUGUGAAUUAAUGCGAUUUAGAGUGGUUUAGAUUUAGUUUCGGUAUCAAGCGCAUCGCAUGUUGUGGGAUUUAAGCUGUUUUUUUUUUUUUAUUUUCAUUACCUUAUGAUUCUGCUUUAGAGUAAUUUAAGAUAAUGAGUAAAUUUGUCUACUAAAGCUUCAAGCCAGGAAGACUCCAUAUAGGCAUAAACAAUGCCUGGCAUCAAGAAUAUUUUCACCGACUUUUAUUCUCUUUCGAACUUAAUUAAAUCAGAUUAAAAAUCUUUAAUUAGGUUUAAUUCUAUUAAUUCAAUUUUAAUUAACUUAAUUAUUUAAUUUCAAUUAAAAUAAACUUGAUAAAUAUUUAAUUAAUUAAUUAAUUAAUUUAAUCAAAUUUUAAUAAAUUAAUUUUGUUUUUUUUAAAAAAAAGAAGAAAAAGAAAUGAUUAACUACUUCCAAUCACAAACUUCACAUUAUUUCACCACCCAAGGACUAAUUUCUCAUUUCAUCAUUCACUUUUCAUGAAUUUAUCUUUUAAUUAUAUUUCAAUUUCAUUCACCACACAAACCAUUUCAAAAAAAGCACCAAAAUCGCCAAUUCUCGAUUAUAAAGUCGGAGCCCUCUUUCAAAAACACCCUGUAAGUCGAUCGCUCUUUUGCAUCGCCAUCAACCUCACAUAGCUUACUCUUGGGCUUACCUUACAAUGAAACCUACUUGUUUAUUGGAUAACGAGGAGAAUGAAAUACUACACUAAUAAAAAUUCAUUUUUCAUUAAUAAACACUUUUCAAAUCUUUUUUUUUCCAAAACAUCUAACUUCGAAAAAGAAUUUUCUCUCCUUCAAACAUUAAACUGGGAUGAAAAGGAGAUAGGAAGCGUAACGCUUUCACUAUUUCUCAAGCCACUCGAAUAAUUGGCGUACCAUAUGCGCGAGUCUUGUCAUCUAAUUAAAAUCUCUAAAUCACACCAUUUCAAAUCACUUUUCAAAUCAAAUCUAAUUUUCCAAAUUCAAAUUAUUCAAACCAUGUGUCAACUUCUUUAAAAAGAAUUUUUUCUCUUUUUAAACUCGGAUGAAAAGGAGAUAGGGAAAGCGUACGCUUCACUUAUUUUCCAAGCACUUGAAUAAUUUGGUGUACGCCAUAUUGCGCAAGUUCUGUCACCCGAUUAAACUUCAAAAUCAUACAUAUUUCAAAUCAUUUCUACAAAAUUUCCAAUCCUUUUUUUAUUCCAUAUUUCAGAUGGAAAGGAGGAUAGGAGGCGUACGCCUCACUAUUCUUUCGAUUAUCGGAUAAUUGGCGUAACGCCACAUUGCUCGAAUCUUCGUCAUCAAAAUUAAAACCAUUAAUUUCAUAUACAUUCAAAUCACAUGUUCUAAAACAACUGACAAAUUCCUUACAACCAUUUAAUGGUUUCUAAAUCUCCGAUGAAAAAAGAAGAUAGGGGGGGGGGGGGGGGAAGGGGGCGUUUUAAAACGGGGCCUCACUAUCUUUCGAUUAUUCGAAGAAUUUGGCGUAACGCCACAUUGCUGAAUCUUCGUCAAUCAAGCUUAAAACACAAAUGUGAGGAAGCUAAAUCAUCUAUCAAAUCCAAACCUACAAUCCAAAAUUCAAAACUAUUUUCGCGAAAUCAAAUACAACAUCCAAAUUUAUAAUCUUUCUUAAAUUAAACUUUCGGAUGAUAAGAGAUGCGGAGGCGUACGCCUCGGCAACUCUCGAUAUGAUGAAUAAUUGGCUGUACGCCAUAGUGCACAAAAUUAUCGGACUUUACCGACUAAAAACACCGUUAAAUAAACUUGGAUUAGGGAAUAGGAGGCGCACGCCUCAUUAUUCCUUGGAAUAAGCAAUAGGAGCGUACGCCUCACUACCGUGCGUAUUCAACAUCACAAAACCAACUUUCGAUAAAAAAAUCGAACGAAAAGGUGUAAUAGAAGGCGGUAUCGCCUUAUUAUCCUCGAAGAAUGGACGAAUUGGUGUAACACCACAUUGCUCAAUCUUUUCGUCGUCUCCAAAACCACCUUUAACAAAUCAAUCCAAACUUUCUCGCCCCCGAGCAGUCGAAACCAAAACACCCAAACACAUCAAUUCAACUUGUCACCCCGCCGUGACCAAAACUCCUUCAAAAAAGAACACUGUUAAUCUUUCUAAUGCGCACAACAAACCAGUGGCUAGAGCCUCCCCCGUAGAGUAGAUCAUGCCAGCGUUUAGCCGUUUAGAACGCCGACUUACAACAGUCGUUCAUCAAAACAAAAAAAAACAAACCAAUUAUUUCGUAGAGUAGCCCGAACUACCGAUUGCUCUGAUUUCCCUUAAUUGCACCAUAAGGAUACGUUAAGGCAGGGAAAGAUUGCUGUUAUCUUUCGCGAGCACACUAAUUAAAAAAAAAACCUUCCCCAUUUUUUUUCCCCCUUCCCUGAAGGGGGGUUUCUUAUCUUUCUCUUUUUUUCCCUUUUUUUUUUUUUUUUUUUUUUUUUUUUUUUUUUUUNNNNNNNNNNNNNNNNNNNNNNNNNNNNNNNNNNNNNNNNNNNNNNNNNNNNNNNNNNNNNNNNNNNNNNNNNNNNNNNNNNNNNNNNNNNNNNNNNNNNNNNNNNNNNNNNNNNNNNNNNNNNNNNNNNNNNNNNNNNNNNNNNNNNNNNNNNNNNNNNNNNNNNNNNNNNNNNNNNNNNNNNNNNNNNNNNNNNNNNNNNNNNNNNNNNNNNNNNNNNNNNNNNNNNNNNNNNNNNNNNNNNNNNNNNNNNNNNNNNNNNNNNNNNNNNNNNNNNNNNNNNNNNNNNNNNNNNNNNNNNNNNNNNNNNNNNNNNNNNNNNNNNNNNNNNNNNNNNNNNNNNNNNNNNNNNNNNNNNNNNNNNNNNNNNNNNNNNNNNNNNNNNNNNNNNNNNNNNNNNNNNNNNNNNNNNNNNNNNNNNNNNNNNNNNNNNNNNNNNNNNNNNNNNNNNNNNNNNNNNNNNNNNNNNNNNNNNNNNNNNNNNNNNNNNNNNNNNNNNNNNNNNNNNNNNNNNNNNNNNNNNNNNNNNNNNNNNNNNNNNNNNNNNNNNNNNNNNNNNNNNNNNNNNNNNNNNNNNNNNNNNNNNNNNNNNNNNNNNNNNNNNNNNNNNNNNNNNNNNNNNNNNNNNNNNNNNNNNNNNNNNNNNNNNNNNNNNNNNNNNNNNNNNNNNNNNNNNNNNNNNNNNNNNNNNNNNNNNNNNNNNNNNNNNNNNNNNNNNNNNNNNNNNNNNNNNNNNNNNNNNNNNNNNNNNNNNNNNNNNNNNNNNNNNNNNNNNNNNNNNNNNNNNNNNNNNNNNNNNNNNNNNNNNNNNNNNNNNNNNNNNNNNNNNNNNNNNNNNNNNNNNNNNNNNNNNNNNNNNNNNNNNNNNNNNNNNNNNNNNNNNNNNNNNNNNNNNNNNNNNNNNNNNNNNNNNNNNNNNNNNNNNNNNNNNNNNNNNNNNNNNNNNNNNNNNNNNNNNNNNNNNNNNNNNNNNNNNNNNNNNNNNNNNNNNNNNNNNNNNNNNNNNNNNNNNNNNNNNNNNNNNNNNNNNNNNNNNNNNNNNNNNNNNNNNNNNNNNNNNNNNNNNNNNNNNNNNNNNNNNNNNNNNNNNNNNNNNNNNNNNNNNNNNNNNNNNNNNNNNNNNNNNNNNNNNNNNNNNNNNNNNNNNNNNNNNNNNNNNNNNNNNNNNNNNNNNNNNNNNNNNNNNNNNNNNNNNNNNNNNNNNNNNNNNNNNNNNNNNNNNNNNNNNNNNNNNNNNNNNNNNNNNNNNNNNNNNNNNNNNNNNNNNNNNNNNNNNNNNNNNNNNNNNNNNNNNNNNNNNNNNNNNNNNNNNNNNNNNNNNNNNNNNNNNNNNNNNNNNNNNNNNNNNNNNNNNNNNNNNNNNNNNNNNNNNNNNNNNNNNNNNNNNNNNNNNNNNNNNNNNNNNNNNNNNNNNNNNNNNNNNNNNNNNNNNNNNNNNNNNNNNNNNNNNNNNNNNNNNNNNNNNNNNNNNNNNNNNNNNNNNNNNNNNNNNNNNNNNNNNNNNNNNNNNNNNNNNNNNNNNNNNNNNNNNNNNNNNNNNNNNNNNNNNNNNNNNNNNNNNNNNNNNNNNNNNNNNNNNNNNNNNNNNNNNNNNNNNNNNNNNNNNNNNNNNNNNNNNNNNNNNNNNNNNNNNNNNNNNNNNNNNNNNNNNNNNNNNNNNNNNNNNNNNNNNNNNNNNNNNNNNNNNNNNNNNNNNNNNNNNNNNNNNNNNNNNNNNNNNNNNNNNNNNNNNNNNNNNNNNNNNNNNNNNNNNNNNNNNNNNNNNNNNNNNNNNNNNNNNNNNNNNNNNNNNNNNNNNNNNNNNNNNNNNNNNNNNNNNNNNNNNNNNNNNNNNNNNNNNNNNNNNNNNNNNNNNNNNNNNNNNNNNNNNNNNNNNNNNNNNNNNNNNNNNNNNNNNNNNNNNNNNNNNNNNNNNNNNNNNNNNNNNNNNNNNNNNNNNNNNNNNNNNNNNNNNNNNNNNNNNNNNNNNNNNNNNNNNNNNNNNNNNNNNNNNNNNNNNNNNNNNNNNNNNNNNNNNNNNNNNNNNNNNNNNNNNNNNNNNNNNNNNNNNNNNNNNNNNNNNNNNNNNNNNNNNNNNNNNNNNNNNNNNNNNNNNNNNNNNNNNNNNNNNNNNNNNNNNNNNNNNNNNNNNNNNNNNNNNNNNNNNNNNNNNNNNNNNNNNNNNNNNNNNNNNNNNNNNNNNNNNNNNNNNNNNNNNNNNNNNNNNNNNNNNNNNNNNNNNNNNNNNNNNNNNNNNNNNNNNNNNNNNNNNNNNNNNNNNNNNNNNNNNNNNNNNNNNNNNNNNNNNNNNNNNNNNNNNNNNNNNNNNNNNNNNNNNNNNNNNNNNNNNNNNNNNNNNNNNNNNNNNNNNNNNNNNNNNNNNNNNNNNNNNNNNNNNNNNNNNNNNNNNNNNNNNNNNNNNNNNNNNNNNNNNNNNNNNNNNNNNNNNNNNNNNNNNNNNNNNNNNNNNNNNNNNNNNNNNNNNNNNNNNNNNNNNNNNNNNNNNNNNNNNNNNNNNNNNNNNNNNNNNNNNNNNNNNNNNNNNNNNNNNNNNNNNNNNNNNNNNNNNNNNNNNNNNNNNNNNNNNNNNNNNNNNNNNNNNNNNNNNNNNNNNNNNNNNNNNNNNNNNNNNNNNNNNNNNNNNNNNNNNNNNNNNNNNNNNNNNNNNNNNNNNNNNNNNNNNNNNNNNNNNNNNNNNUAACUUAAUUAAAUAACUAAAAUAAAAAAAACUAACUAAUUUUCAAAUAUCUAGACAAAAGAAAAUUACCAAUUAAAAAAUGAGUACAAAUUAUUCGGAAAAUUAAAUAAAUCACAGUCUUUCUUCAAAUCUUGACAAUUCAACCGAUUUUUUUAUUCUCAAAUAAAUUCCCCCUGAUUGAUAUUUCCGGCAUUUAUUCAUGAUGCAAAUGUGUGUCAUGUUAUGUGUAUGAUGCAAAAAUGAAACUGAAAUUAACUUUGAAAAGAAAUUAAAAUAAGCUCGGACAAAAUUGGGGUACGACACUGUUGUGUGAACAUAGCCAUUACGAGCAUGACCAUGAUAGGUGCCAGGUGUGCACUAUCAAUUAGAGAGGAUGCCGUCAGGUGAGAAGGGACAUCCAAGAGAUGAUUGAUCAAGGGAUGAUUGAGAUACUUCAGAAUCGUAAUGAGGAUAAAGUUGAUGUAAUUACUCCUGUAUUUAAAAUUCUUGAGCCUGUCGUCAUCAAGUAUGAUGGCAGCAAGAAGAAGGUAUCGCCAACUCUUGUGAUAAAGCCAGCUGGCCAUGUCCCGUAUGUAUCUGACAAAGUUAUUCCCUAUCGAUAUAACACAGUCAUGCUAGAAGAUGAAAAGGAGGUGUCGUUGCCCUCAACUUCUGUAGUGAGCAUUUCAGACGUCAGUGGUGUGACCCGUAGUGGUUGUGUUUUCUCGGCUCCGCCGAAAUCCCAUGAAGAUGUUGUAAAGAGAACUGUUGUUAAUCUUCCCAGUCCUGUAGGGACUUCUUCUCAAAAUAAUUUGGUUCCUGUUGUUGACCCCGUGGCUUUCAAGAAUAAUAAUACUCCUAUCCUGGUUGGCCAGUCUGGAAUUUUGAAAGAGGAUGGUGAUGAGAUACUGAGGCUCAUCAAAAGGAGUGAAUAUAAUGUUGUUGAUCAGCUGCUACAAACUCCAUCAAAGAUAUUUGUAUUAUCUUUAUUGACGAAUUCCGAGCCACACCGCGAAGCUUUGCAGAGGGUGUUGGACGUGGCAUACGUGGACCACGAUGUCACAAUGGAGCAGUUUGAUAGCAUUGUUUCAAAUAUAACCGCUUGCAAUAAUCUGAGCUUCUGUGAUGCUGAUCUUCCCGAGGAGGGAAAAGACCAUAAUUUGGCUUUACACAUAUCUAUGAACUGUAAGGACGAUGCCUUAUCCAAUGUGUUGGUGGACACAGAGUCAUCCCUUAAUGUGUUGCCAAAAUCCACUCUUGCUAAACUUUCAUAUCAGGGGCCUCCCAUGAGGCAGAGUGGAGUGGUUGUGAAGGCUUUUGAUGGAUCGCGCAAAACUGUGAUCGGGGAACUAGAACUCCCGAUCAAGAUUGGACCUAGUGAUUUCCAAAUCACUUUCCAGGUCAUGGAUAUUCAUCCGUCUUAUAGUUGUUUACUGGGUAGACCAUGGAUUCACGAGGCAGGCGUCGUGACAUCCACUCUACACCAAAAGUUGAAGUUCGUGAAGAACAAGAAGUUGGUGGUGAUAGGGGGAGAGAUGGAUCUCUUGGUCAGUCAUUUAUCUUCCUUCUCCUAUAUUGAUGCUGAGGAUGAGGUCGGGACUCCGUUCCAAGCCUUGUCUAUUGUUGAGCCUUCUAGGAAAGGACUUUCUUCAUUUGUCUCCUAUAAUGAUGUGAAGUUGGCCAUUGAGCAUGGUGCAACUACUGGUUUGGGGAAAAUGAUCAAGUUGGAAGAUAACAAGUCCCGAGCUGGCAUAGGGUACUCUUCUGGUGUUUCCAAUGAUCGUGGGCUGUUCCAGAGUGGAGGUUUUAUCCACACCGUUGAAGAUCAGGAAGCUGCUGCCACUGUUGAGGAUGAUAAAGAGGAAGACCUUGGCAACUUUGUCAUACCCGGUGGAAUCUGCAAUAAUUGGGUCGCUGUUAAUGUUCCAACAGUUAUCCAUAAGUCAACGUAAUGUGUUCAUUUUGUUUGAAAACCCUUCUCCCAUGCCAAAAGGAGAAGUGAAGACAUUGUUGGCAUAAUUUGAUUAAUACAAUGAUAUUCAUCAAUAAUCAAUGUUAAAUGUUCGUUUCCAACAUUAUUUCCCUUUUUGCUUUUGCAUGAAAUUGGUGAUCACCAUAAAACCACUAAAAGAAAAAUAAAAUCAAUCUUUUCACUGCAUACUGAUUGGCCUUGUUUGAAUUCUGAAAUCUCUUUAACUCAAAUUAUUAUACAGGUUAAUCAACCCAUUGAACAUAAUGAUCCAACACCAUCUCCCAACUUUGAGUUCCCUGUAUUUGAGGCAGAAGAAGAUGAUGUUAAAGAGAUUCCUGAUGAGAUUACCCGUCUGCUUGAGCACGAGGAGAAGAUCAUUCAGCCACAUCUCGAGAAUCUGGAAGUAAAGAUUGGGGCACUCCUUGAAGAGUCUGUUAAGAAGGGGUUGAUUGAGUUGCUACGAGAAUAUGUCGACGUCUUUGCCUGGUCGUAUGAAGACAUGCCUGGUCUAGAUAUUGAUAUCGUGCAACAUUUCUUACCGUUGAAGCCUGAGUGCGUUCCUGUAAAGCAGAAGCUCAGAAUAACUCAUCCUGAUAUGGCAGUGAAGAUUAAAGAAGAAGUUCAAAAGCUAAUUGAUGCGGGGUUUCUGGUGACUUCUACAUAUCCUCAAUGGGUGGCCAAUAUUGUGCCUGUGCCUAAGAAAGAUGGAAUAGUCUGAAUGUGUGUGGAUUACCGUGACUUGAAUAAAGCUAGUCCGAAAGAUGAUUUUCCUCUACCACAUAUUGAUAUGUUGGUAGACAAUACAGCUAAAUUCAAUCUCUUCUCGUUUAUGGACGGAUUUUCUGGUUAUAAUCAAAUUAAGAUGGCACCCGAGGAUAUGGAGAAGACAACAUUCAUCACACCUUGGGGAACAUUCUGUUAUCGAGUGAUGCCCUUCGGUUUGAAGAACGCGGGAGCAACGUAUCAACGUGCUAUGACUACCUUGUUUUAUGAUAUGAUGCACAAGGAGAUUGAGGUGUAUGUUGAUAAUAUGAUUGCAAAGUCGAAAACGGAAGUCGAACAUGUAGAACACUUGUUGAAGCUUUUCCAGCGUUUGGGGAAGUACAAACUCCGCCUGAAUCCGAACAAGUGUACAUUUGGAGUCCGUUCCGGCAAGUUAUUGGGCUUUACUGUCAGCGAAAGAGGUAUUGAAGUUGAUCCUGCCAAGGUCAAAGCAAUACAGAAGAUGGCUGCGCCCAGGACUGAGAAGCAAGUCCGAGGUUUUCUUGGCCGCUUAAAUUACAUUUCUAGAUUUAUAUCCCACAUGACUGCCACAUGUGCGCCUAUAUUGAAGCUCCUCCGGAAAGAUCAUCAUCAUGAUUGGACCGAGGAUUACCAAAAAGCCUUUGAUAGUAUCAAGGAGUAUUUGUUUGAGCCUCCGAUUCUGUCUCCGCCUGUUGAAGGGAGGCCAUUUAUUAUGUACUUGACCGUACCUGAUGACUCCAUGGGUUGUGUCCUUGGUCAGUAAGAUGAAUCAGGAAAGAAAGAAUGUGCAAUAUACUACUUGAGUUAGAAGUUUACUGACUGUGAGUCUUGGUACUCAAUGCUUGAGAAGACAUGAUGUGCUUUGGCUUAGGCUGCUAAGCAUUUACGCCAGUAUAUGUUGAAUCAUACGACUUGGUUGAUAUCCAAAAUGGAUCCAAUCAAGUAUAUCUUUGAGAAGCCUGCUUUAACUGGGAGGAUUGCCCGUUGGUAGAUGUUGCUGUCUGAGUAUGAUAUUGAGUAUCGAGCACAAAAAGCUAUUAAAGGUAGUAUCUUGGCUGACCAUUUGGCACAUCAACCAAUUGAAGAUUAUCAGUCUGUACAGUAUGACUUCCCUGAUGAGGAGAUUCUGUAUUUGAAGAUGAAAUAUUGUGAUGAGCCUACGCUCGAUGAAGGGCCGGAACCUGGUUUCCGAUGGGGUAUGGUGUUCGAUGGCGCUGUUAAUCAGUAUGGAAAUGGUAUUGGGGCAGUGAUUAUUACUCCUCAAGGCACACAUUUUCCUUUUACAGCAAGGCUAACUUUCAAAUGCACGAAUAAUAUGGCGGAGUAUGAGGCAUGUAUUAUGGGUUUGGAAGAAUGUAUUGAUCUUAGGAUCAAACAUCUUGAUGUUUAUGGUGAUUCGGCCCUUGUUGUUAAUCAAAUUAAGGGUGAACGGGAGACGAAUCAGCCGCCUCAUCCCAUACAGAGAUUAUGCGAGGAGGAUUUCAACUUUCUUUACUAAGGUUGACUUCCAUCAUAUUCCUCGAGAUGAGAAUCGGAUGGCGGAUGCUCUUGCUACACUUGCUUCAAUGAUUGUAGUGAAGUAUUGGAAUGAAAUCCCCAAUAUUACUAUGAUGCGCUUGGAUAGACCAGCUCAUGUGUUUGCAAUUGAGGAAGUGAAAGAUGAUAAGCCAUGGUAUUAUGAUAUCAAGUGCUUUCUCCAAAGUCAGACUUACCCGCCUGGGGCAUCUGUUAAAGAUAAGAAGACUUUGAGGAGACUAUCUGGUAGUUUCUACCUUAAUGGUGAUGUGCUUUACAAGAGGAAUUUCGACAUGGUUUGGUUCAGAUGUGUGGAUCAACACGAAGAAGACCUGUUGAUGACUGAAGUCCAUGAGGGUUCAUUUGGUACUCAUUCCAAUGGACAUGCUAUGGAAAAGAAGAUGUUGAGAGCAGGCUACUAUUGGCUGACAAUGGAGUCUGACCGCUGCAAAUAUGUGAAGAAAUGCCACAAGUGUCAAAUUCAUGCGGAUAAGAUUCAUAUUCCCCCGACACUUCUGAAUGUUAUUUCCUCACCAUGGCCUUUCUCCAUGUGGGGAAUUGACAUGAUUGGCAUGAUUGAACCAAAGGCGUCGAACGAUCACCGUUUUAUUCUCGUAGCUAUUGAUUACUUCACCAAGUGGGUUGAAGCGGCAUCGUAUGCAAAUGUGACCAGGCAGGUGGUCGUGAAGUUUAUCAAGAACCAACUUAUAUGUCGAUAUGGUGUUCCAGACAAGAUCAUUACCGAUAGUGGAUCUAACUUGAACAAUAAGAUGAUGAAAGAGUUAUGUAACGAGUUCAAGAUCGCACAUCAUAAUUCUUCUCCCUAUAGACCCAAGAUGAAUGGGGCUGUUGAAGCUGCUAACAAGAACAUCAACAAGAUUAUUUAGAAGAUGGUUGUUACGUACAAAGAUUGGCAUGAGAUACUGCCAUUUGCUUUGCAUGGUUAUCGUACAUCGGUUCGUACUUCAACAGGGGCAACCCUUUUCUCUCUUAUAUAUGGCAUGGAGGUUGUGCUCCUUGUAGAGGUUGAGAUCCCAUCAAUGAGGGUCUUGAUGGAAGCCAAGUUGACUGAGGCUGAAUGGGUUCAGAGUCGUUAUGACCAGCUGAAUUUGAUUAAAGAGAAGAGAUUAACUGCCAUGUGUCAUGGUCAGUUGUAUCAGCAAAGGAUGAAGAAAGCCUUUGAUAAGAAGGUCAAACCUCGUAUGUUCCGAGAAGGUGACCUCGUGCUCAAGAAAGUCUUGUCUUUAGCGCCCGAUUCCAAGGGCAAGUGGACUCCAAACUAUGAGGGCCCAUAUCUUGUUAAGAGAUCCUUUUCAGGCGGUGCUUUGUUGCUUACAACUAUGGAUGGGGAGGAUUUCACUCGUCCUGUGAAUUCAGAUACAGUCAAGAAAUACUUCGCCUAAAUAUAAAAACAGAAUAGCUCGCUAAGUUGAAAACCCGAAAGGGCGGCUUAGGCAAAAAUGAGCGUCUCGGUGGAUUGAAAACCCGAAAGGAUGGUCCAGGCAAAAGUUAGAGACAUAAAAAAUGAAUAUAGAUAUCCCGCUAGAUUGAGUACCUCACCCUGGGGAAAUCUAGGCAAAAAUUAGGGAUUUGGCAAGUAACUGCAUCCUGACAAGACUUCGCUCUACAGCUGUGACUUGUCAAAGAUUCUCUUUCAGUCAUCAUCAAUUGAAGCGUCAAAUAUAGUAAAUUCAGAGUUGGUGGAGAAACGAUCAUUAUGUUCAAUGUAGCCUUUUUUUCCAUGAAUAUCACCAAUGUCAAAUUUGUAAAGAUCCAUGGCGUCUCGCCAUUUGCAGACUACCAUUCCAUUAAAUAAAUUUGAGCUUUUAUCCAAUUCUUGGCAUUAUUACUUGUUUCUGUUUAACAAAUGUUUGCAUGUUUUAGUUGAUAAAUAUCAUUGUUUUAAACAAAUAUAGUUUUACAAAUUGUUCUAAACAAAAUGAACAUUCACAAUGACUAAAAGAUAAAUGGAAUAUCCUCAUUGCUUUCCCAAGGACAGUACGAUUUCCAAAAGGUAAGAUUUUUGUUCACAUUCUGUUGUCUCCUCGGUAGGAAGUGGUAUAGAGCAGUUGGUGGAGGAUCUGUUUCUCUUCUAUCCCUAGCAUGUCACGUAUUGACGAAGGAUUCAUUUCCGAUUCCCUCGGCCAAGACAUGUUUCCUUUGAAGUUUGCUUACAGUUUAUCCCCAGCAGGUUUGCCUGACCUGAGUGUGAUAAUUUGUGUUGAGGAAGAUGUGUUACUCCAUUCCCCAGCGGAGCAAAUCGUUCUUUCUCCCCUUUGUUUUUGUUGAUAGGUAUCUGUUUGGCAUUUUCUCCCCACGAAAUUUCACAUCAUUCCUCGAUAAGUUCCCCAGUAGAGUUUCUUCUACGGUGGAUCUUAUUGAUUUUCAGCCACCUGUUCCCGAGAGCUGAUGAGGAGUUCCCGGCGGUUGGCAACUGUGACUUUUCCUGUCCCCAGUAGAUGAUCGGUGUCUUCCGGUAUUUGAUUGGCCCCACCAGAGAUGAGUUCUCCAGUAGGCCCUGCCCUUCAUUUUGAGAUGUUAUGUCGGAUGUCCGUUUGUGGUUCUUGAACCUGUCUGUGUUCGAUAUGUCUGUCUGGCAGCAUUAAUCAUACACAAAUCAUGCAUAUACAUGCAUAAUCAUAGCAUUCAGAUAUUCAUGUUGCAUUCUUUGCUAUAUAUCCUUGCUUAUUAUCUCCUGCUAUGGGCGAAAUGUUCUUCCCCAAGUAGAUGUUUGUGUCUGAUCUCUCCAUUUAGAGUCAGCCUCAUAGGCAAAAAGUGUAUAGCUUUCCUUCUUUCUUCCCCACUGAGUUAUGUCCUCGUGGAUGAUUAUUGUUUCAGUUUCCUCCCCCGUUAUGUACCGGGAUGGAAUUACUCCCCUGAGUUAUAUCCUCAUUGGGUUAAGUCUUGUUUAAUUAUGUCUUUCUAGUUUGUUCCUAGAUUGACUCCUUUUUUGUUAUCCCCUGCAGUUCCCUGUGGUUUAGUUGUUCAAUUGUUAGUAACCAGUAAUUGUUCAUCCUUUCCUCAGCGGAUCUUGUGGCCUUCUACCCAGUAACCGGUAGUUGUAAGUCCUAUUUAUGUGGUUUUCUACCCAGUAACCGGUAGAUGUAAUCCCCUCUUUGUUGGUUAUCUCUACCCAAUACCGGUAUUGAUAUUCCUUCGUUUUUGAGUAUACCACCCAGUAGCCGGUGAUAUAUCUCCUGGGUGAUUGCUUUUGUUAGGCAAUUUAUCCCUUGCGAGUCAUCUUUCAUUUACCCUUGGUUGGUAAUGAUUGUUUCUCCUUCUGAUUGGUCAUCAUAUUAUACCCAGUAACCGGUAUCCUGAUGUCCUUUCUUUUCAGUCGAUUUAUCCUUCAUUAACCCAGUAACUGGUUAUGGAUAAUCUUCCAUGCGAGUAUGUUAUCUAUGUUAUGACGGUAAUAGAUAAUAUAUCUCAUGCAUUCUUCAGUCGAAGUCUUUUUCAUCCCCAGUUGAGUAAGCUUCAUAUUUCCUUAUGGAAUCUAAUGUUCAUCCUUUAAGUCGAGUUUGCUUUUUCAGCCCUCCUUUCGGAUGAUGAGUGUCUUGGAUAUGUUCCCAAUUCACACAUGGUUGGUCACCUAUUAUAUGCCUAGUAACCGGUAUCCCUGGUGUUCCUUCCUUCUGCUCCCUAUUAUGACUUUUGUCCCCUGUGGAGUCAGAUUUUCCUGAGUUGAGAUGUGCCUUUUGGGUCUUCCUCAGAUGUUUCGGAUGAUUGAUAUCUCUCACCCUUAUACCGGUCUUAGAUAUUCUUUCUCCCUGAGCGUGUUGUUCUCUCACCAGUAACCGGUGUUUUGAUAACAUGUCUCUCCUUGAGUUUAUUACCCAUUAACCGGUAAUAUCUCGUUGUUUCUUCUCAGUUGAUUCCUUUGUGGACAUCCUUGUCUGAGUCUGGAAUUUUUAUCCAAUGUAUCCUUUUUGGAUAGUUUUGCUGUAUUGGCAUAUAUACAUGCAUCUUUACGUCAGCUCGAGUCUUUCCAUCGAUUUAUUCUCAUGGAAUCCCAUCGUGUCUCCCAGCAAGUUUUCAAGUCGUGACCUACUCACGCAUUUUUACCUUAUUUCCCCCAGAGUCUCUGUCUCCCUAGUGAGUAGUUACUCCUAUGGAUUUUCAGUUUCUUCUAAUUUCUUUUCCUUCGUGGAAAUUAUUCACCGUGAAGAUUUUAUUUUGCAUACAUACAUUUGCAUCAUGAGAUCUCUUAGGGACCAAAAUUCGUCUCUUUAUUAUUAUUAAAGCCCAUUCUACCACGUCGAGACGAAGAUUUUAACCUUCAUAUCUCCGGUUAGAAUGACCUUAAAUAGGUGCAUCUGUAAGAUCCUAAUUUUGACCCUAAGAUCCCUCAUGGCAUCAUAUCAUUGCUCAAUGCAUUGCCUCAAGGAUCAUAGCAUGUUUGGCUCCUUAACCCUAGGGUUGGGACUUGUUUGAAUGGUUUGAGACCAACAAGCAUUCUUGCAUUGUAUAUUAUUGCUUUUCUUAUUUUGGUUACUAACCAAAAGCACAAAAAUAUGUCACUAACUCUUUUUGUUUUGAAGCUCAAGUGAUCAUAUGCUCCCAUGCUCCUAGGAGGCUCCUAAGCUCAAUGAAAUGGCUAGAUGAAGAUGAGAAAAAGCAUGACAAUGGUCCACAAAGUUCCUAAUCAUCAUAUAUGUCUCCCAAGUGUCUCAAUUUGCCAAUUUGAUCAAGAUAACCCAAAGGGUUUGAGGAUUGUUUCCCAAGGAAACCCUAAUUCAAUUGUGCUUUGACUGUGCCUUGCUCAUGAAGCAACCUCAACCCAUGAUAAAAUUUAAUCAAGGGAAGUUCUUUCAUUCAUUAUUUUAUGCAUAUAUGAGCCUAUUUUAGGAUCCUCAAUCAUUCAUUCAUCAAGAUUGGAAGUUUGGCCUUGAAAAGUUGACCAAUCAAGUCAUCUGACUAAACUGAAGAUCACUGAGAUACAACUUUUGAUAUGUUUGUCAAAUGAAGAUGACCCCAAGAUUAAAAAUGUUCUUAAGAACCAUAUGAACAACUUUAAUGUUCACAAAAAUUCCAUUUGAAAAUUGUAGGGUCAUCAUUCAUUUCAAAACAUUAUAGGUCAUUUUGACUGAAACCCUAAUUUUUGGUCAACUUCCCAAGGACCUAACUUCCUUAUUUUUUAUGAUUUUGAGGUGAGACCAAAUGCCAUGGAAAGCUCAAGAUGUCUACUUCAAAUGUUAUGUUAUGUUGGACAAAAUUUCAUAAUCCUAAAAUAUACACAUGUGAUAAUACAAAACAUUAUAGGUCACUUUGGACCCAAGUCAUUGAAUUUGAAAAAUGCCCAACUUCAAGUGCCGAUAACUUUAUGAUGAAAAAUCCAAAUGAUUCAAAAUUUAAGUCUAAACUGAUCAUGUUGAAAAGAUUUACAACUUCGGUGUUAGAGGUUUUUCCAUUUGAAGCUUUCAUCACUGAAACAGAAGGGCUUGAAGAGGCUUGCUUUAGUGAACAUUUUCAAAGGGGAACUUAAACAUGUUUUGUGACCAAACUUUCACAACCAGUUUUCCUUUAUUUCCAAAUGCCAAAUGAAUUUUUUCCUAACAUGAUUUUUGUUCCUUAUUUCAAGAGCUUUCCAACCAUUACUCACACUACUUUUUGUGAAUUUCCAUGUGUGAGUUUCGAAGAGCUUUCUAUUUAGGUUCAUUUUUGCAUUUCACAUUAAAACUUGAUGUCCAAGCUUGUGCAAUCCAUUGUGCACGUCCAAUUCAUUUCCAGGUGGUAUCAGCAAGGAUUUGCACCCACCAUUGGGCCUUACAUGGGCCUGUACAGGCCCAUGCAAGGAGGAUUCAAAUCCCAUGCACACGAGGGAACCAUGCUUGCCAAUCCAUUUCAGCUAUAAAUAAGUGUGCAUUCUCAUUCAAUUGGCAACCAAGUGGAGAUCUGAAUUGCUGCUGAAUUGAAAUCCCAACCCUCACUAAAGGAAUUUUCAGUUUUCUUUCUCUUUUUCAAGCUUAAAAUUCAACAUCAUUAGUUGAUUUUCAAAGCUCAAUUCCUUAACCUAGCAUCACCAUCACACUUCCAGAGCGAAAGUAGAUCAAGAGCUUGAAGGAUUCGUGGCAUUUGAAGCUUCAUUUCAGUGGUAGAACCUCAAACUUUUUUGAUCUAGAUCUCUCAAUACAAUGCGAUUUUCUUUGGUUUGUGUUGUUUUCUGAAGUCCUCAUACUUGAGGCAGGCCAGUGGUGGUCUGAAUUUUGUAAAUCCUGCCAUUUCAGUUCACACACCAUGAUUUUCAAGCUCACGUUUCUAUCUAAAUAGGAAUGGUGAGGAUGAUCCAUGGUUACAGUGGUGAUGUACAUCACCUCAGCUUCAUUUUGAUGUCUUCAUUUUUCAUUUUCAUUGUAAUUUAUUUUCCUGCGCAUGGUGGCGGAAAUGGUUAGAUCGCCGAAGAAGAUGGUGGUUUCCACCACCAUCCCCACGUGUUUGCUUCAGAGCUCUUGGAUUGUGCAUAAACGUUUUAAUCUUGGCCAUUCCAUAUGUUGACUUGUUUUAAUGCAAUGUGUUACGCGCUUGACUCACAUGUACCUUGUAUUCGCGCCCCUGAGCCCUUGACGCCUUGCCACGUCAAUUAAUGAAAUGAUAUGAUGGCGCUGGAUUUUUCUAUUUUUUCUUAUUUUCUUUUAAUUUCAGUUAAUUCCUUUUAUUUUCAAAAAUUCAUAAAUAUUUUAUUUGAAGUCACCAAAAUAUGAGACCAAUGCCAAAAAAUUUCUUGAAAAAUCUAGUUUCAUAUUUUGAUUUUUAUUCUUUUUGUGACGUCAUUUAAUAGUUUUUGUGAAUUAUUUGGUUUUUAAUAGUUUUAAUUCAUUUUAAAAUACUUUUAGAUAUUUAAAAAAUCCAAAAAUAUUUUCCAAACACAUAUGGAUCAUGAUAAGUCAAUGAAAAAUAGUCUCAUCAAUUUCUUAAUUGACUUGAGAUUUAUUUGAGAUUUUAAUUCAAUUAUGUUAUUUUUCAUUGUUUUUAAUCGUUUUUAAAUAGUUUCUGAUUUCAAAAAUUGUUGAAAAUUUUUGUCAAUGCUUGUUUGACCAUGUUAGACCUAUGAGAAUUUAAUUGGACUUGUUGAAGUUGAUUUGAAUUAAAUUUGAGGUUUGACCAUAUUUUGUUUAUUUUAUUUUGCAUUUAUAUUUUAAUUCAAAAAUACCAAAAAAAAUAUGUUUGACUUGUUGACUUUUAAUCUUCAUUUCUCUUCUGUUUGGGAUUGAUUGAUGAUGACUUGGUACACAUUUGAUCAAUUGAGUUUGAUACUUGAUUUCUCUUUCCAUUUAUUUCAUUUUCAUCCCUUUCUUUUUAUUUUGGCCAAUGAGUUAAUGUCUUAUGGUUGGUCUUGACAAAUGAGAGGUUUAACCUUCUUUGAUCCAAACCAAACCCAACUUGAUCCAAGAUCAAGUGAGUUGUUUUGUGUCCAAGAUAGGUUGCUUCUUGGUCAAGCAAAAAACCUAAAGUCCAUACAAGGCCCUUCCCUCUUAUUUUGGCAUGGCAAGUUUGUGGAUCUUGGCUUACUAGUCAUGAUCUCUAACUUGUAUUUAUUUGCCUAUAAUUUUAUUGACCGGCCUUAGAUAGGUGUGACUACUACAUUAGUUCACUUACGAUUGCUUAACAUAGCGCUACAUUGUCUUAUGACAAACUAACAUAACCAUACUAAUUACUAACUUUAAUUUGAGCAUUUAAUUUCUUGCCCUUUACUUUAAUGCAAUUUAUUUCUUGCUCUGCGCUACAUUGUCUUAUGACAAACUAACAUAACCAUACUAAUUACUAACUUUAAUUUGAGCAUUUAAUUUCUUGCCCUUUACUUUAAUGCAAUUUAUUUCUUGCUCAUUUAUUCAUAUUGCUUUUCACUUUGCUCACUUGAGCACAUAUUUUGUGUUUAUGUCAUUUUCCUUUUGCUCAUUUGAGCUCAUUAUUGUAUAUAAAUAUAUUGUUGUCUUGUGUUGGUUUUACUUUUGUUUUGUGUGAACCUAAUGCAAAAAGGAGAAAAGACUUAGAAUUAGGACAUACCUAUGCUUAAAGGAGUUCAAGAGCAACUAAGCCUCAUUCCUUUAGAAUGCUAAAUUUGUUGAAGAGCAACUAGGCCUCAUGCCUUUAGAAUGCUAAAUUUCAAAGUUGACUUCAAAGGACUUCCUUUCCAAAACUUAUUCUUUGUUUAUUCCUCUUAUUGUGUUGUGAACUUUUUGAUGUUUGCUCUUGCGUGAUAGGGAUUCCAUCUUGAGAUAGAAAGAGGACCGUUGUCAUGAGUAGCCAAUUUAAGAGAGACAAGCCAAAUGGAGAUCCUAGGAGCUUGAAUCUAAAUUGUUUGAUUGCUUGAUUGUGUGCUAAGUCCAAAGGAAAGGAGCAUCUUGAAUCAUCUCUAUGAUUUCAAGAAAAGGAACUCCAAGGGUUUUAUCUUCCUCUCUUAUCUUUGUAUGCUUUAGGACUAGCCCAUUCUCUUUUCUCUCUACUCUAACCGAAGCCAAAAAAUUAUUUACAAAACUUUGACAUUGUUUUCAAACUAGAAACCUAGGCCUUAUGCCUUUGACUUUUCAAAGCCACUUUCAUCAAUACUCAUUGUGAAUGAACCUUAAUCCAACUUUGACUUCAUUUUGUAAAUAAUCUAACUUGUAAAUACAACUCACUUCAAGUUGUUUUUGUGGUUCCAAUGGCCACCUUUGUUAAAACCUUUUCAAUAACAUUAGUCAUAGGUUUGAGUUAUCAUAGUGGUUGAUGUAAAUCUGCACCUUAUCCUUAGUGAUUGGAUUAUAAGUCUUCCAUACUUAUUAUAGGGUUAACCCCUCACUAGUAUGUUGAAGCUUUCCUCACAUGGUGGAUUGUUGGUUUAGGUUGAGUUUUUCUCCCUUUGAUAACAAAAGACCUUAAGGCUUUUGGUCAAAUCAAUUCACCAAUCUUUGUGAUUUUUACCCCGAACUACGAGGUUUUGAUCCUACCUUUCUAAUGGUACGUAGGCAAUGGGUUCAUCCAUUCAAAUAACUAAAUUUGUAAAUAUAAUCUAUUCUCUUCUCAUCCCUCCAAUAUUUUGCACAUAUUUUCACAAAUACCAACCUACAACACAUAUUUGCAAAAAGGGUUCCCUUAGAGUACUAAGGAUGUUUUGGGUGCGUAUUACCUUCCCAUUUCAUAACUAACCCCCUUACCUAGAUCUCUGACAUUUUUAUUAGUUUUUUAUUUGAUAAAACUUCUUACUUGGCUUUUGUUCGCUUUUUAGCCUUUCCUUUGGACAAAUAAAAGUGCGGUGGCGACUCGAAUUAUAUUUUUAUUAGUUUUUUAUUUGAUAAAACUUCUUACUUGGCUUUUGUUCGCUUUUUAGCCUUUCCUUUGGACAAAUAAAAGUGCGGUGGCGACUCGAAUUAUAUGUUUACUUUUGGUUUAGUCAAUAAAUCCAAAGGUAACGAAAACCCCGCUACACAGUGGGAGACUCCGAAAUUUGUUACAUAGAUAAAAAAUGGGUUUGGUUGGUUACUAAGAAGGUUUAUUAAAGGCUUUUCAAAGUUACCAUUGACUUUUACUUAGUUGAAUCGAAAAGACCUAGCUUAUGGAUGGAGUUUUCAGUGCGAAGAAAGUUUUCAAAAACUCAAAAAAAAGUUGACAUCAACUUCAGUUUUUAUUUUGCUAAGUCCAAGUGAAUCCUUUGUUGUGUAUUGUGAUGCUUCGAAGAUGGGUAUGGAUGGUGUGUUAAUGCAGAAUGGUCAGGUUGUGGCUUAUGCUUAUAGGCAAUUACAGGUUCAUGAGUGGAAUUAUCCCUUGCAUGAUCAAUAGUUGGCAACCGUGGUGUUUGUGUUAAAAAUUUGGAGGAAUUAUUUAUUUGGUUCCAUAUAUGAAGUGUUUAGUGACCAUAACACUUUGAUGUACUUGUUCGAUCAGAAAGAGUUGAAUAUGAGGCAGAGGAGGUGGCUCUAAUUUCCGAAGGAUUAUGAUUUUGGUUUGAGUUACCAUCCUUGUAAAGCCAAUGUCGUGACUGACACUUUGAGCAGAAAGUCAUUGCAUAUGUCGACAUUGACGGUUCGAGAAUUGGAGUUGAUUGAGAAACUCAAAAAUAUGAGCCUUUUGUGUGAAAGGACUCAUAAUAUUGUGAAUUUGGGUAUGUUGGAGUUGACUAGUGGCAUUCUUGAAGAAAUCACAUAAGGUCGGAAAUUAGAUUUGGGAUUUAUUGACCGGUUAGUGUUGAUCAAUCAAGGUAAAAAGAUGUAUUUCAUAAUAGAUGAGAAUGGUGUUAUGCGAUUCCAUGAGAGAGUUUGUGUACCAGAUGUCCCAGUUCUUAAGAAGAGUAUUCUUGAAGAAGGUCAUAGAAGUAAUCUGAGUAUUCAUCCAGAUACUACUAAAAUGCAUCAAGACUUGAAGAAGAUGUCUUGGUGGCCAAGAAUGAAGAAGGAUAUAUUUGAGUUCUUUUAUACCUGUUUGACUUGCCAUAAGUCGAAGAUUGAACAUUAGAAGUCGUUGGGUUUGACGCAACUGUUGAGUAUUCCCGAGUGCAAGUUGGAUUUUAUUUCCAUGGAUUUUAUGACAAGUUUGCAUAAUACUUCUAAAAGGAAUUGUUUAGUUUGGGUUAUAGUGGAUAGAUUGACUAAAUCGGCUGAUUUCUUCUGAUUAAGAUUAGUUAUCCUUUGCAGAAGUUAGUUGAGUUGUAUAUUAAGAAGGUUGUUAGCUUGUAUGGUAUUCCUUCGAGUAUUGUUUUUGACAGAGAUUGAGAUUCACAUUGAGGUUUUGGGGGAGUUUGCAAAAAGCCAUGGGUACUAAGCUGAAGUUGAGUUAUGUUUAACAUCCGCAGACGUACAUUCAUAUAGAAAGCACUAUCCAUUCUUUUGAGGAUUUGCUGAGAGCUUGUGUUUUGGGGCAGGGGGUAACUGGGACAAUUACUUAUUAUUGGUUGAAUCCACUUACAACAAUAGUUUUCCUUCUAGUAUUGGAAUUACACUGUUUGAGGCUUUGUAUGGUAGGAGGCAUAUGACACCUUUGUGUUGAUAUGAUUCUGGUGAAAGUGUUGUGCUUGGACCUGAGAUUAUUCAGCAGACUACCGAGAAGAUCUAGAUGAUCCAAGAUAAUAUGAAAGCUUCAAAAAGUCGUCAAAAGAGUUUAUCAUAAUAAGAGGAGGAAAGAACUUUAAUUCCAAGAGGGAGAUCAAGUGUUUUUGAGAGUUACUCUAGUAACUUGUGUUGGUUAAGCUUUGAAAUAUCGAAAGCUAACGCUAUGUUUCAUUGGUUCUUAUCAAAUUAUGAAUCGAGUAGGAGAAUUAGCCUACAGAGUUGAUUUACCUCCAUUUCUUUCGAAUCUUCAUGACAUAUUUCAUAUGUCUCAACUGAGGAAGUAUAUUUCUGACCCGUUAAUGUGAUUCAAGUUGACGAUGUGCAAGUUAGAGAGAACUUGACUGUUGAGGCGUCUCCCUUGAGAAUAGAGGAUCGCGAAGUGAAUCACUUGAGAGGCAAGGAUAUUACGUUGGAGAAGGUGGUGCAUGGAGGACCUGCUGGAGGCAACAUGACGUGGGAGUUGGGGAGUCAUAUGAGAGAGUCGUAUUCGACUAUGUUUCCUCUAGGUAAUCCUCGAGGGAAAAAAUUCUAUAAGUGGGGGAGAGUUAUAACACCCUGAAUUCAAUUAAUUUAUUUAAUUGAACCUUAUUUAAAUUAUUAAGUGGUUUAUAUGCUUUUAUUUGGAUAAUUGGAGAAUAUAUGUGUUUUGAAGGGUGUUAGAGAGAGUUAAGGGAAUGGUAGAAACUAAUUAGAUUAAUUUUAAUUAAUUUAAGUCGAGUGGAUUAAUUAAAUAUAACGUAGUUAUAGAAACAUAAGAGAAAUAAUAGAAAUUGGUCUAUAAUUGAAUGAUUAGAAACUAAAAUAAAAGAAAUUGGAGUUAGUAAGAGGAGUAAGGGCAAUAUCGGAAAUAGGAGAGCAAGUUGAGUGUAAUAAGUGAAUAACAUAAUUAGAGGAAUUAGGUUUUUGUUUAAAUAGAAAAGAGUGAGGGUUGAACUUUUACAAUACGUAUUAUUUUUGAACAAGAGAAAAUAAGCAAGGGAGGCAACCUAGGGUUUGGUAUGAAAACACCAUUGUUGAGGAACUUAGGGCUUGUUUUGCUGGAAAUCCAAGGUAAUGAGGAGAUUACUCUUCUAUGGGUGUAUAUCGUAUGAAGGGCAGAGAGGGAUGCUCACCCUACUCUAUAUGUUUCUUUUGAUUCUACUAUUGUUGACAUGUUCGUGUGUUCUUGAUGAAAAUCAUGUAAAUUGCAUGUCCAUGUGUUAUGAUUCGUGAUUUGAUCUGUGUGUUAUGAAAUUGAUAUAUGUGUUCAUGAUAUAAUGAUUUCAGAAUUUGGAAUGUGAGUUGUAUGUGAGGUUGCAUUGGGUGUCAUUCUUGUUGAUGUGUUUGAUGAUGAUGAACACAAAGAUAAUUUCUAUGGUGAAUUGAUGUUAAUGUGUAAAUUACAUGAAAAUUGGUGUAUUGAUUGCCUACCAUAAGCUUAUUGAUGUUGGAAUUGCAGUAUAGAGUUUUUAAGCAUGUUAGGACAUGCUUAGAUGGGGUUUGGAAGGGAUAAGGAUUACUAAAACAUGAUUAAAUAUGGAAUUUUUGGAAAAUUUGUUGAUGUCAAUCAAUUGACAUCCUGUGUCAAUCGAUUGAUCACGUGAAAAUUUGGAAUAAUAUAAAAUAUCAAACCAUGUCAAUUGAUUAACAUGAUUGAGUGUUGUGUGGAUGUCUAUUAAAUGUGUGAAUAUAUGAUGUGAAUUACAAGUAUAAUUAUGGGAAUUGUUGUAAAUACUUGCUGAUGAUUAUUGAGAUGCAUAGUUUGGAGUGAGAACUAUUAUUGAUGUGUUGAGAUGGAUGAUUGUUUACAAUCAUAUGUGAGGAUGUAAUCAUUCUUAUGUUGUUGUAAUUGUAUGAUUACUUAUAGUCAGAUGUUGGGUUGUAAUCAUUAUUGUGUUGUUGUCGUUGCAUUAUUGUAUGGCAUGCAUCAUAUAUUGUUGUUGUUGUGAAAGAGGUGAGCUACAAGUUCAGAUGUUGGGAGUUGUGAUUUCUCCCAAGCUCAGGGAGGGGGUUGUGACGAGCAUUAACAAAGUUGACGGGUCGGGCAUUGCAUACGUAUCUGCAUUGGGUUUGCGUUAGCUACUGAUAUGAGUUGAUGGGAAUGAGUAAUUAAUUGUUUGAGUUGAUUGCAGUGUUUUGUAUGAAUUUAUGUUAUCGAUGAUUGUUUAUGUCAAAAAAUGUUAUCAAUGAUUGUUGUGUGAAUACAUUACCUGUUGAUGAUUGUUAAUGUUGUUGAUGUUUAGGCUACCCUUCAUGAUCUUUUGCACCGCUAACAUAUUUGAGCGUAUUCUCGCCUCUUUGCUUUAUGUUGUCCACCAUGGACAUCUUACAGAUAAUCAUGAUUUGAGUUUUGUUUCUGUAAGUGGAAGAGAUGUUCUUGGAGCUCAUCUUCAUUUACUUUAUCAUUUAUCAUUUUUAGUCAGUUAAAUGCUCUGAUCUGUAACACCGAGAACAAGGAGUUUUUAUUAUGUUUUGAGUUAAUGAUGAAUUAUAUGUUUUAAAAUUUAAUACUCUAUUUGUGAAAUUGAAUUUUGAAGUUGUUACUAUGUUAGUUCCGCUAUAUGUUGUCAAAUGAGAUGAUUAUUUUUUGGAUGGUUGUCGUAGUGACACCUAAAAUUGUCAAUUAAAUAUUUUUAUAUAAGUUUCGGGGUUUAGAAUGUUAGAUUUUUUGCUUUUAUCUUUUCUAGUGGCAGUUCAUCUUAUUGUAGGCAGAGUAUUAUGGGUGACAUCUAGCUAGUGGUUAGGCCAACUUCAAGUUUGUUUGUUCUGUCCUCCUUGAUACUAGGGGAGUCGAGAGUCUCUUUAUUUAUAAUGCAAAUAUUUCUUGAUCUUUUUGUGUUGGCGACCAUGAAGAGAAAUCCAGCACUAAAGUUGAGUUCCCUUGGCACAUACUUUGUUUUAAAAGCUUUUAAGCAUAUAGAUAAGCCAUGUACCUUUUUCAGAUAUUUGAUAAGAUGGGCCUUGUAACACCCCAAAUUUGAUUAAUUGAUUUAAUUGAAUUGUUUAGAAUUUUUAUUUAAUUAUUUUAUGCUAGAGUACAUUAAAAUAAAAUUAUAUGAUUAUAUGUUGUUGGGGUGUAAUUGUGGUAGUAUGUUCUGGAGUGAAUGUAGUAGCUUGGUAGAAUAAUUUUAAAAUAAUUAGAAUAUAAUAGAAUUUUUAAUUGUUAUGUGAAUUAAGGGGGAGUAUGUGACAAGAGGAGAGAAGUUGCAAUGAAGUUGGGCAAAAACUAUAAUUUUUAGAAAAUAGUUAGAAACCAUAUAAAUUAUAAAAGUUGGGAGAAACUAAGUUUUUGAGAGAACUCUCACAGUACGUGAAAAUAAGAGGCGAGAAGAACAAAGGGCUUUUGGGAAGGAGAACUAGGAUUGGGAAGAGGAAUCCAUAGGAGUUUCUCGAUUCACAAUCAUUGCUGGAAAUCUAAGGUAAAGGGGAGAAAUGGCUACCAAUAUGUGUGUAUUGCAUGAUGGGGUAGAGAAGAUAAGCCCUUAAUCUCAUUAGGGUUCCAAGGGUUUCUUUGAUAAUUAUUAUGUGCUGAAUAUUUGGAAAUUUGUUUGUUGAUUUUGCGUAUAUAUGUGUUUCUUUGACUAAAUCUAUGUUUGAAUUAUCAUGAACAUGUAUGUAUGAGGUUCUGCCAUUGAUGAAUGUGUGAAUGCUUAUGUUGUAUUCAUGAUUGAUGAUGAAAUUGCUGAUGAAAUUAUUGAUUAAUUGUUAUAGAUAGUGAUGAAAAUAGGUGAUGUAUAUGUGUUGAUUAUGAUAAUAUGAAUCACUAUUAAAUUCAUGUUUUGGGUCUGUUGAAUUUGGAUGAAUUGAUUGGUAUUAUGAAUGGAAGUUAGGGAAUCAAGAGAAUAUUGAAUGUACGUGAAAAAUUAAGUUUCUUGGAAAAGUUAGCUUAGACCAAUCGUUUGGUUCUAGGGAGCAAUCGAUUGGUUCCCCUUAUAAACUCAAAAAAGUUUGAUAGAAAACAAGGAGCAAUCGAUUGGUCUCAUGGUGUAACCGAUUGGUACUUUCAAAAAUUGGGAAAAAAUGUUGGUAGUGAUUUCAGGACAAUCAAUUAGUCCCAUGGGCCAAUCGAUUGAUCCCUAUUUCAAUUAGUUGGUUCACUUGUCGAUUUUGGCUGUAACUUUCAUUUCGUAAGUUCAAAAGAGACGUUGUUUGAAGUAUUGGAUAGCUAACGCGUAGAGCUACCUCAUCGGUUUGUGAUGACUUGUAUCAUUGUUUAGCAGUCAUGUGCUUAUUGUAGCGAUGUUUGUGAUGAAUUGUAUCAUCGGUUAGCAAAUAGUUGUGUUUAUCCAAUGGUGUGUUAUUGUUUUGGUGAGUGAACUCGAUUGAAUGCGUAUGAAUAUGCAUGUGUUGAGUUUCUUCUAUUGGUUGUUGUUUGUUGAUGUUGUAACAUUGAUUAAUAGUUGUGUAUGAUUAAUGAUGUUGUGCAUAAACGUUGAAAUGUGCAUGGUGAUUCUUUCGGUGAACCUUUUGGUAAUAAUGCAUGUUAUUGAGAGACAUGCAUCAUGGUUUAUGAACUUUGAUCCAGUUUUAUUGUGCUAUGUUCAUAUGGUGGGAAUUCAGGGGCAAGUAGUUGGUUCCAUAUGGGAAUUGGUGAAGCGUUACCUAUGGGGAUGGUAACGAUUUGGUAUGCUCUGGUCCUAUUGUGGGGAUUCAGGAGCGAGAUGAACCUCAAUGUUCAUAAGUGGUACCGCGUGCAUAAUGAUUCAGUUGUGGAGUACAUUGUAUACAUAAUUUCAUAUGUAUUUGAUUGUUUAUAAGGUUGUUUAUUGGUUGUGAAUAUGUGAGUAUUUCUAUGAAUAAGUGUGAGACUAUGUUGUUGUUGAUUGUGUAAUAUGCAUGUGCACUUGGUGUAUAUUCUCUACCUUAGAAUUCCUUACACUAACUAUAUUGUUUAUUGUUUCUCACCCCCUUUUCUUCAUAUUGUCAACUAUGGACAUCUUGCAGAUACUCAUGAGUGAUCCUUGUUAUUGUGUGUUGGAAAGUGGCUUGUUGUAGCUACUCUUCGCUUUAUUUUAUUUGCUUUAUAAUACAUUAGUGGCUUACUGCUCUGAUCGUGUAAAAUCGAGGAUGGGAAUUAUUAUGUUUUUGAAGUGAUGUUGUUUUUUGGUUGUUUUGGAGUUUAAGAAUGACUUAUCAAGUUAUGUUGAAAAAAUGGUUUUCCGCUGCGUAGUUUCAAAUGAUUUUGAUGUGUUUUGGAGGAUUUGUAGGUGGUGACACCUUAAAUUGUCGUUUAAUGAUUUAUUUAUAAGUUUCGGGGUUUAUGGUGUUACAUGCCUCCUUUUCCUGAAAAUCUCUAGAGACCUGAUUCACCAUAAGUUACGAGUCACUCAUAGCUUUCAUACUUGAAGUUCCCAUCUCGAUGUCAAAAAUCAUGGUGUCGGUGAGGGUUUCAUACUCGGCUUGAUUGUUGUUGGCCUUGAAUUUAACCCUUAAACUCCUCGACCAAGAGGUCAUAUAAACUCUCUAAUACUAUUUCAAUGCCACAUCCCUUCAAGUUUGAGGCGCCAUCUACAUAUAGUAUCCAUGUGUGGGAGGUCUCCUUACCUACUAGCGAACUAAAAUAUUCUAAAAAAUUGUCUAACACAUGUGAUUUGAUACUUCCUUUGGGGAUAUGUUGGAUAUCAUACUCAGAUAACUCGACUGCCCAAGAUACCAUCCUUCUUGGGAGAUCUGGAAAUUUUAAAACUUCUCGAUUGAGUUAGUUGGUGUUUACCAUUACCCGAUGCCCUUAAAAGUAGAGUCUGAGUUUCCUUGCAAUUAUCACAACCGCCAAGGUGAGCCUCUCAAUCUUCUGGUACCAUACAUCAACGACCUUAAACACCUUUCUCACAAUUAGACAGGCUAUUCAACUUUGUUUGUCUCUUGUAUGAGUACAAAAAUCAUUGCCUAGUAAAAAAAAUAGAUAAAGGUAGAAGGGCGAGCCUACUAUAGGACUUGUCAAUAUGGCCAAUGAUGCCAAACAGGCCUUUAAGUUGGAUUAUAUUUUCUUGCACUUACUUGUCCAGUCAAACUUCUUCUUUUUCUUAAAUGUGGCAAAGAAAUGGAAGGCUUUGUCAUGUGCACAAGAAAGGAAACGAGCUAGGGUCCUUAAAUUCCCUGUUAGUUCCUACACUUAUUUAAUGUUCGACGGGAUUCUCAUGUUGAUGAUUCCCUAAAAGUUAUAUGGGUUUUCCUUUAUCCAUAUCUUAUUUAGAAUAAAUCCUAUGAACUUACACUCCUCUACACCAAAAGAGAACUUGGCACGAUUUAAGCAUAUGGUGUACCUCCUGACUGAUUCUAGGACGUCCUCAAGAUCUACAAUAAGGCUUUUGUCGUUAGAUGUUGUCACGACCAUAUCAUCAAUGUAGGCUUCCAAGUUCUUAAUUAUCUACUUUGAGAAUACAACAUCCCUGAGCCUUUGAUAGGUGGCUCGUAUGUUUUUCAGUCCAAAGGGCAUGACAUUGUAGCAGGAACUACUAUAAUUGGACAUGAAUGUUGUCUUUAGGGCAUCUACAGAAUAUGAAUCCAUAAAACUCAAAGUUUUGUAGCCUGAUGUCAUACACUGAUUUUGUCCAAGAAUUUUCAUUUCAUUGAAAUUUGAACUUAUUUCAAACUCAUUCAUAUUAUUUAGAAAAAAAAUAAGUGUUCAUCACGUCUUUAUCAUUUUCAUCUUGUGUCAACAUAGAACAUCUCCUCAUAUUUAUGCAUUACCAAGUUAAUUGGUAUAUUUAUCCAUUUUGCAUCUUUUCAAAUCUCAUGUCACCUCUAUUAUUAUUUUCUAAUUUGUAUUAUCAUCCAUUUUUAUCUUUCCAUUUUAAAAUCAUAGGUUAUUUUUUCCAUCAUCAUCUAUUUUAGCAUUUUUGCACUGUAAGACCCCUAAGAUCCCUCAUGCCAUCUCAUAGCUUUGCAUUGGCAUUGGGAUAACACCUUGGUAUCCUCAUCACCUUUCAUUCAUUGGGUUUGCAUUGGGAGAUAUCUCCAAUAAUUUAUGAUUGUAUCAUACUUUAUUUUCUUUGUUUACUAACGAAAAUACAAAAAUAUGUCUUGUAUAGCUUUAUUUCUUUUGUAGGUAAUGUGUUUGUCCAUCUGUGCCUCACCAAGCUCACAACUAGGGUUUGAGACCCUCAAUGCAAGAUAUCAAGCAAGAAAAGGUUCACAUUGGUUCUAAAAAUCAUAUAUGGGUCCCCAUGUUCUUUAUUUGUCAUUUUGAUCAAGAAUUCAUCAAGAGUUUGAAGUUUGUUUGUCAAGGAAGCCCUAAUUCAUCUGGGUAUCUUGUGUGCCUUCCUCAGCAAAUUUCUUCAACAAUUGGUCAAAUAUAUAAAUGGAUACUUAUUUUACAUCAUUAUAAGCAUAUAUGAUCCUCCAUGAGCCCCUAAGAGAAAAAUAACUUCAAGUGUGCAAGUUGAUUCAAGGAAGUUGACCAGAAAAGUCAACUGCUCAAAUCUAGGGUUUCCUAGAACUUAUCUCCUACAAUUUUUGUCAUAUGAAAAUGAUUAUAAGAGAAAAGUUACUCUUUAUGAUAUUUCAAACAACUUUCAUGUUUACAUCAAGAGAUAAGUUUGCUUGGAAAGUCAUUUUUUAUGGUGAAGGAUUAUAGGUCAUUUUGUCUGUGCCCUAGAUAGAAGGUCAACUUCCAAGAACCAUAACUCCCUCAAAUUUUAUUAUAUGAAGAUGAUCCAAGUUUCAUGAUCAAUUUCAAUAUGUCUUAUUCAACUUUGAUUCUUUGAGAAAGAUCAAAUUCAACUUGCAAAGUCAUGUUCCAUGAGGAAACAUUAUAGGUCCAUUUUGGUCCUCAUCAUUGAACAAGAAAUUUUCCUCAAUUUCUAAAAUCCAUAACUCCAUCAUCCAAACUCCAAAUGGUGUCAAAUUUGUAAUCAAAUUGAAUCGAAUUAAAAGGGAUAAAGCUUUGUAGAAGGAACCAAGUUCAUUUGAAGCUCCUACCAAAAUUUAUUCAAGGUGGAAAGAGGGUACAUUUGACUUAUAAUUUAGAAAAGUUUAUAAGUAUGUUUGAUACCUCCAUAUUCAAGGUCAGAAUUCUCCAUGUUCCAAGCUUCAAAUUAAAAAAGUCCCAACAUCGAAGUUGUUCCUCAUGAUGAUAACUUUCCAAAGAGUCCAAGAUCACAUCAUUUGGGUGAAGUAUGAAGGACAUGCGCAUGAGGUAUUCCCAUGGCUUGAUUUGGCAAGUUUCAAACUUUAAGCUUGGUACAGCUUUGCAUGGCCUCAUGUGAUGACCUCAAUAGAAUUUUUGCACGAAUUUGAGUGGAUUACAAUAAUCAUUUAGGCCUGAACAAGCUCCCAUGCACCCAUGCACCAUCAAUUUCUAUUUUUGAUUCAAAUUUGGAAUGGUGUGGAAAUGAUUUCAUUUGCCUAUAAAUUGAAGUGGAUUGCCUUAGAUUGGAGGAUAAACCUUGCCCCAACUUUGCCAAUCAAUCCCAUAAACUCGGAAUAGAGAAUACAUUGAGGAUUUCACUUGAAAUCAAGUAUUUUGUUCAACUCAAGAUUGUGAACAAAAAACUCCAAGGAAUCAUUGCCAUUUUCAUUCCAUUGGACUUCUGCAAACAAAAGGAAGAGAAAUCAAGUGGAAUUUCAUAAAGAAUCAAGCUCCAAAGUUGCUUCCCGAAGGUGAUUUUUCUAAUUUUUCAUCUCUUCAAUUCUCCCUCAAUUCUUAAUAUCUGGACUCAAUUUUGUGAUGGCUGAAGUCCUACCAAUGUAGGCAAUGUUUUUUGAGUUAUUUUGAGCUUGAAUCGAAGCAACUCAGUUUGAACACCUUAGUUUUCCUCUAACUUUUCUGAUUAUAAAGUGGGAGAUGGAAGAAAUGGAGGUGAUAUUCGUGAUCCUUGUAUUUUUAUCUUUAAAUUGGUAUAUGAUCCAUCAAUUUCUGGAAGAUUUUGAUCUGACCAGUCCGGUGGCCUUCACCGGAGAAGAUGACCGGAGCUCGGGCUUCGGUGGUGCUGUGGCGUGUCCUUCACCCACAGAUCUUCAUCCCAUGUUUUAAUCUGAUCCAUUUCUUUUAAAAUACCAAUUAUGUGUGUAAGACCCCAAUUUUGACCCUAAGAUCCCUCAUGCAGUUUCAUCAUAAGCAUUAGCAUUGGGAUCAUACCUUGGCAUCCUCCUUACCCCUCUUUCAUUGGGUUUGUUUAGGGAGAGAUCACCAAGCUCUAUAUGAUUGUAUCAUACUUGUAUUUUAUCAUUUUACUAACCAAAAUACAAAAAUAUGUCUUUGCAUUUGCCUAACUCUUUUGUAGGUAGGGCAUGAUCACCAUUGAUUCAUCAAGUUCAUAUCUAGGGUUUGAGACCCUCAUGACAAAGAGUAUACAAAAAUAUGUCUUUGCAUUUGCCUAACUCUUUUGUAGGUAGGGCAUGAUCACCAUUGAUUCAUCAAGUUCAUAUCUAGGGUUUGAGACCCUCAUGACAAAGAGCACAACCAUGAAUUGAUCCAUGAAUGGUUACAAGCAUAAUAUAUGAGUCUUAAUGAUCUCUACAUGUUAUUUUUAUCAAGCAUUCUUCAAGAGUUUGAGGGUGAUUUGCCUUGGAAACCCUAGUUUGACUAGGUAUCUUAAGUAACUUCUCCAACAAGCUAUCUCACCAGUUGAUCAAAUUUCUCAAGGAACACUUCAAAAUUCAUUAUCUUAUGCAUAUAUGAUCUACCAUGAGCCUAUAAAGUCAAAGAUGAUUGAAUAUUAGCAAGUUGGUUGAUGGUGGUUGGCCAGAUGAAUUCAUUUGAUCAAAAUUGGGUCUCCCUAGACCCUAUCUCCUACAAUUUUCACCAUAUGAAAAUGAUUCCAAGAGAAAACUUACUCUAAAUGACAUUCCAAACAACUUUAAUGUUGAGACCUAGAGCUAGUUUUUCUUGGAAAAUCAUUUCCUAUGUUGAAACAUUAUAGGUCAUUUUGUCUAAACCCUAAUUUGAAAGUCAACUUCCCAAGGCCAUAACUUGCCAAUUUUUAUGAGAUGAAAGAUUUCCAAGUUGCAAAAUCAAAUUCAAGAUGCCUAAUUCAACUUUGAUGUUUUGAGUGAGAGCUAAUUCAACUUUUAUGAGCAUGUGAUAUGAGGCUACAUUAUAGGUCACUUUUGACCUAUACCAUUGAACAAGUGAUUUUUCCAAAUUUCAAAAAUUCAUAACUCUAUCAUUUCAAAUCCAAAUGACAUGAAAUUGGUGACAAUUUUGAAGGUCUUUUAAAGAGCUACAACUUUGAUGAAGACACGUUUCUCAUUUGAAGCUCACAUAAAAAGUUAAGCAAGGUGGAAUAUUGAGACAUAUGGCUUGACACUUAGAAAAAAUUUCAACAUGUUGAAAUUUCCAAAUUUCCACCUCAAAAUUCAUCAAGAUACAAGCUUCAAAUGGAAAAGUGUUGAACAUGAAAGUUGUUCCUCUUGAUCUCGCCUUUCCGAAACGUCCAAAUUCAUCCAUUUUGGACAUGAAUUGAAUAAGUUGCGCAUGGCUUGAACAUUGCAUCAUCAGUUGGCAAAGAUCGAACUUCAAGUUUUGAUGUACACUUGCCUUGCAAUCCAAGUUGAUUUCAGACUCUCUCACACUCAUUUUUGGAUCUAAAGCAAUGGUCUCAUGGGCCUGUACAUACCUAUGCACCCAUGCAUCAUCCAUUGCCAAUUUUGGAAAGUCAUUUGGAAGGUGCAAUUAUCACUUAAUCCAACUAUAAAUAGAGCUUCAUAUGCUUAGAAUUCAACACACAUUCGCGCCAACUUUGAUCCUAGACCCCUAACCCUUCCAUUUGAGAGGAUAAUCCUGAGAAUUUCAUCUUGAAAUUAAGUUUGAAUCUCACUGUUUUGAGAUUCAAAACUCCAGGGAUCCAAGACCUUUUGUGCAUUUCAUUCUACUUCUGCAAGCAUUCUGAGUGAGAUCAAGCACGAGCCAAGGCAAGAAUAGUUGAAUCCAUUGAAUCUCACUGUUUUGAGAUUCAAAACUCCAGGGAUCCAAGACCUUUUGUGCAUUUCAUUCUACUUCUGCAAGCAUUCUGAGUGAGAUCAAGCACGAGCCAAGGCAAGAAUAGUUGAAUCCAGACCCGCAUUGAAGGUAUUUUCCAAAAAAUUUCAUCUCUUCGAUUCUCUCUCAAUCUUGCUCAAUUCUCUUGAUUCUUUGGUUGUCUGGAGUCCUACCAAUGUAGGUUAGAAGAUUGAGUUGCUUAGAGGUCAAACCGAAGCAACUCAGUUGACACACCUCAAAAUUCAACUCCUCAUAUCUUUCUAUAUAUGUGAAGUUAGUUAAAAUUGAGGUCAGAUUCGUGCUCUACGCCAUUUUUUCUUUUAGAUCAUGCCCUCUUUUUUCAUUUUCUUGAUGGUGAUGAGUGAACCAGUCCGGCCAGGGUCACCGGAGAAGAUGACCAGCCUUUGGACGCCGGUGAUGUGUUGGCACGGUUCAGAGCCAUUGAUCUCUUUUAAAAAAUUUUAAUCUCGUGCGUUGUUUUUAAUUACCAUGCCUAUGCCGCGUUGACUCAAGUCUACCAUGGAACGCGCGUUGGUGGCCACUUGAUCUACCACCUCAAUUAAUGAGGCAGAUCAAGUGGUCCAUGUUUUUUCUGAUUAUUUGAAUUUCAUUUUAAUUGCUUUAUUUUCAUUAAUUCAUAUUAAUUUUAAUAUUGAUCAAAAAAAUAUGAGAGUUUCACCAAAAAAUUUCAAAUAAUUUCCUCUUUCAUAUUCUGAAUUAAAAUUAUUUUUUGGAUCAUUAUUAAUAUUUUUCAUGAUUUAAUUGAUUUUUCAUUUGUUUUUAAUUUGUUUUUCAUGAUUAAAAUUCUGAAAAAUUUUCUCCAAGGUCCUUUGACCUUGUUUGACCUAUGAUAAAUCUCAUGGCCAUUUAUUUGGUGUUUUGAUGAGGUUUUAGGAAUUUGACAAACCAUAUUUAAUUUAAAUGUAUUAUUUUUCUUUGACCUUGUUUGACCUAUGAUAAAUCUCAUGGCCAUUUAUUUGGUGUUUUGAUGAGGUUUUAGGAAUUUGACAAACCAUAUUUAAUUUAAAUGUAUUAUUUUAGUAUUUUUAAUUUGAAUAAAUUCCAAAUAAUUUUGUUGACCAAUUGUGAUGACUUGUUUGUGUUUGACUCGUGUUGUUGGGCCUUGGUCAAGGUUGAUUUGACUUUGUCAAGUUAAUAUCAUUGGAUUUAGGGGAUUGAUGGAAUGUACAUUCCAUCUCCCAAAAUGAAUGGAUGAUAUUAAGUUGGUAAAAGUCCUCCUUUGGCUAAUUUGUGUUUUGAUUCAUUCCCCUCCCACUUCAUCUCAUUCCCUUUCUUUAUGCAUUCAUCUCAUUUGGCCUAUGCUAUCUCAAAAUCCUAAAGCUAGUUGAUUGAAAAAUUAACAUGAGUAUGGAUGAGAUUACGCCACACCUUUUGCAUAUUCUUUUUGUGUGUGGUAUGUUUCAUGAGCAUAGUCCAUAAUACUAUGUCUCUAACAUGCAUUAACACCAAAAUUCUAUUGCCCGGUCUCAAAUAGUUGUGACUUCUAUAUAAGUCCAAUUACGAUUGCUUAACAUAGCACUAAAUUUGUGACUUAAAAGGCAUAGCAUUCUAGUUAGUGAUAUUUUAAGUCUCCCCUCUUUCAUGGUACUGUGUGGAAACUUGACCUUUUUUCCUUCCUUUGGAAGAUGUCUUGGUUCAAGGAUCCAUGCUUGUGAUAAGUGGGUUGAGUGUUCUCCAAAGAAUGUCUAAGAAUGAAAAUCAAAAGCAAAACAAUACUAACUUCUAACCUAUUAACAACUAACUUUUAAUUUCAAGCCAUUUGCUUUAAUGUCAUUUAAUUCUAGCUUAUAUUCAUUUGCCAUUGUUCAUAUCAUUCCAAUUGUUUAUGUUAAUGCAAUUUUCACUUUGUCCACUUGGACCAUAUUGUGUGAUAUAUUUUGUUUGUGCAUACUUUGUUUAUUUGUGUGGUCUUUGACCAUUAAUGUACAGAAUAACAACAAAAACCCUAAAAAAACUUUUGUGUGGACUGUUGGCUUGAUCCUGGACAAAUGGACUUAAAACUUAGGCAACACUCCUAUGCUAAAGGACUUGGCCAAUGCCAACUUAUUGAGAAACCAAGUACUUACAAUUUGAAACUUCAUCUGAUACAUCAUUCAAGAUCCCACUGAGUUCAUCUGCAACAUGAUCAUUGUGAAGCUGUUAUUUUGAACCUGUGACUUGUGGAAUUCAUCUGCUACAUAGGAUAUUUUGAAGAAGAUCACGGAAUGGAUAAGCUUGGAUGUGGCUAUCUUUAUUUGAUGCCUUUUCUCUUCAAGAUAAUAUAAUUGUGCAUUUGUGUGUUGCUUGAUUCUAAAAUGUCCAAGGGGAUUCUGGGUUUCUAUUGACAUUCUUGUCUAUUGGAUUGCUAGUGAUUUGGUCAGAUCUUUUCAACUCUCAACUUUUAAUUUUGUACAUAGGAUUAGUCUCUUCAUCUUCUCCCCAUUUCUUUAAUUUCAAAAAUCUCUCCCCCCUUUUCAAAAAUCUUCUUUGAUUGAACUUAUUUUGUUCUAAACUUUGACCACUUUGCAAAAAGAUAGAAACUUUGGCCUUAUGCCAUUGUAUUUUCAAGCUUCUUUUCUUAAAUCAAACUUGUAAAUAAACUUAACCAUACUUGACUUAAACUUUCAAAAAGCCAAAAACAACUAACUCAUUCAAACCAUUUUUAGGCCUUUGUGCCUUUCAAACUUUAUUUUUGUUAAAAGCAAUGCAUCCACUUUGAAAUUUGUAUCACGAACUACGAGGAUUUGAUCCCUCAUUUUUAUGUUGGUACGUAGUCACAAGAAAGAAGGUCUUUCCAAACACAAAAAUAUAAUUAAUGAAUUCUUUUCUAAUCCCCCCAUUCUAUUUGUUUGUAAAUAUCAUUUUGUACCAAAUACAUAUGCACACGAAAAGGGCUCCCUAGGAGUACCUAGGACACUUUGGGUGCUAACACCUUCCCUCUGUGUAACCAACCCCCUUACCUGUAAUCUCUGACAUUUUAUUAGUUUUGAUUUGAAAACUUCUUACUUUUGGGUUUUGUUCGUACUUUUCCCUUUUCCCUUGGAAACAAUAAAAGCGCGGUGGCGACUCUUGUUAUUUGAUCUCUAGCUUAUCUAUAGCUUGAUGAUCAUGAUUUUACCGCUAUAGAAAUUAAAUGGCGACUCUGCUGGGGAGUAGUCUCCAGGGUUUAGCCAACUUUUUGUGUGUAUAUAUUUGUAUAUAUAUAUAUAUUAUAUAUAUAUAUAUAUUAUAUAUAUAUAUAUAUUUAUAUUAUUAUAUUAUAUAUAUAUGUAUGUAUGUGUGAUAUAAUCUGUUUGUUGUGCUUGGUGAUCUCUGAGUGGUGAGAUAAGUUCUAACCCGAACAUGAGUGCAAUAGAUAGGAGGAUGGAAUAGUCAUGUUCGACUUGUGUGGAGUAGUCCUUAACAAGUUGGCUUGAGAUCCAUCUGCUCAGUGGAGACUCUUUUGGAUUUGGAAAUGUCACACAAGUAUUUGUGGUUAGGCAUUACUAUCUCUAAGUUGGGUCUGAGAAGCUGAGGACCGUACACCAUUUACCCCUUCUUGGCCUAUUUAGGACGUAGUGCGAAAACUGUUCAAGUGUAGACUUGAUAACAGUUGUUAUGCGAUACUACACUCAUACGAGUUUCUCUUUAGAAUAUUAUGGGUCGAUGAGUCAGUCAUUUUAAGCUGUAAUAUCCAAUAGAUGGAAUUAAGACUCUGGGAACUUUUUAGAACAUGAUCUACAGGUUUUUUUCCUUAGUUCACUCCUUUGGGAUGGUUCUUACCCAGAAUCCAUGCUCGUGACUUGCAACAAACCCUUGAUUCUUGGUUGAUCCAAUCAAGUCUUGUCAAUAUCAAUGGAACUUGGGUGUUGAUAAGGUCCCUUGAUUCUUGGUUGAUCCAAUCAAGUCUUGUCAAUAUCAAUGGAACUUGGGUGUUGAUAAGGUGUAAACCAUAAUCCAUCAAAAUGGAUGAUUGAUCUUGACAAUGACUUGAUUCAUCCCUUGAUCUUAAUUUUCCUUGUGUGUGAUCCCUUAUUUGUGAUUGUUGCACUCAUGCAUUCAUGUGCAUCAUAACUUUCAUCACAUGAAAAUUUCAAGGAACUAAGGUGUCAUUUGCAAAUAUUCAGACAAUGGGUUGUGGACGAAGGAACACUAAGAAGUACAGUUUCAGAUGUCCCGACUUGAAAGAGUUAAGGAAGCUAGCAUCUUUUGUAUUAGAUCCCUUGGAUUUUAAACAACGUCAUGGGAAGCUUUUGUCCAUCUUGUCUGCUGAUGUGGUUGAAGAACUUUUGAGUGUACUAGUGCAGUUCUAUGAUCCUCUCUACCGUUGUUUCACUUUCCUAGAUUUUCAGCUUGUGCCUACCUUGGAGGAGUAUUCUCAUCUUUUGGGGAUACCUGUUUCUAGUAGAGUGCCUUUUAGUGGAUUGGAGGAGAUUCCCCGAUCUAGUAUUAUUUGGAGGAGUAUUCUCAUCUUUUGGGGAUACCUGUUUCUAGUAGAGUGCCUUUUAGUGGAUUGGAGGAGAUUCCCCGAUCUAGUAUUAUUGUUGAAGCUCUUCACUUGAAGAAGUCUGAGAUAGAGGCUAAUUGGGUGAAGAAAGGAGGGUUAUUUGGGUUGUCAUCUAAUUUCCUCAUCAAGGAAGCUACUGCUUUUGCUCAAGCCGGUAGUGUGGAUGCUUUUGAAGCUAUCUUUAUGUUGCUCAUCUAUGGAUUAGCUUUGUUCCCUAACAUUGACGAUUUUGUUGAUGUUAACGCCAUUAGACUUUUCUUGAUUGGGAAUAAUGUGCCCACUUUGUUGGGUGAUAUGUAUUUCUCUUUGCAUCUAAGGAAUUCUAAGGGUGGUGGAACUAUUGUCUGUUGCAUUCCUCUUCUAUACAAGUGGUUUAUUUUGCACUUGCCUCAGACACCUGCUUUUGUGGAGAACAAACAAUGUCUAAGGUUGUCUCAGAGACUUAUGUCUCUCACUAAUGAUAAUAUAGUUUGGUAUGAUCCGUCUUUAAGCAGUUUGGAGAUUAUUGAUAGUUGUGGUGAAUUCUCUAAUGUGCCUCUCAUUGGUACACAAGGAGGAAUUAACUACAACCCUGCUUUGGCUCGUCGUCAACUUGGGUUUUCUCAUUGGUACACAAGGAGGAAUUAACUACAACCCUGCUUUGGCUCGUCGUCAACUUGGGUUCCCCUUGAGAGACAAGCCUAAUAACACUUUGUUAGAAGGUCUUUUCUAUCAAGAGGGUAAAGAUCCCAAACAUUUGAAGCAGAAGAUAGUACAUGCUUAGCAUAACGUGCAUAGGAAAGGAAGAUCCGAGCUUGGUCCGUGCAAUUGUGUAGCUUUGGAAGCUUACUCUCUUUGGGUGAAGAAAAGAGCUUUGGAAUUGAAGAUGCCUUAUCCUUAUGAAAGACCUGCGUCUAUGGUUGUGGUUGAGCCAUUAACUCUCCCUAGCCAAGAUGUAGAGGAGUUAGAAGACGCGCUCGUCAAGAUGAAGCAAGAGAAGGAUAUGUGGGAAGAGCGUUUCCGUGCUUUGAGCAAGAAGCAUGAAGAGUUGCAAUUGGAGUCUAAGGGCAAAGAUGCACUUAUUGAGCUACUUGAAGACUGAGUGACGAAGAGACAGCGAGAGCCAGAGGUUUCAUCUUCUAGCAUGCCUCAGCCUUCCGUUGCUUGGAAAAAUAUUGUUGAUCAGCUUGUCCUCGAGAAGACUCAGAUGAAGGCUUCUUUUGAGACCGAGAUUCGUCGCAUUCGAAGGAAGUACCCGCCUACAGCCAGAUCUGCUAACAUUAUUGUUAGGGAUCCUUAGGAUGACUAGUCUCCUUUUCUCUUGUAUUUUUCAUUUGGUUUCUGAAAUUGUACUCAGUGUAAUCCUUCCAAUUUAUAUAAAUAAAAAGAGAUUUUCGGUCAUAUCGAAUUGUUGCAAUUGCUAUUUGACUAUAUAUAUUCGCAAAUGAUAUAGUAGGUUCCUUGAAAAUGAAAAAAAAUCAAGCAUUGCAUUUCAUGCAUCAUUUGCAUAAGCAGGUUUUCGCCAGAUGUCUUAUUGGUGUUUCUUCUGUGCUUCAGCCAAGCUGACUCACCAGUACAAUACCCGAGCCAAUUAUCUGAAAAUCAUGGAGCAUCUAGAGUAAGAGAACCGAGAAUUGAAGGACAAGAUCACCCGCCUGACUGCCAUGAUGGAGUCAGUUCUUGCUGCUCAUAGUCAAUCUUCUUCAACGCCUGCAACUCCUCCUGCGAGGACUGUUAUUUCAGAGGUGGCUACCUCUACAAUGCCUGAUGUUGUCGCUCAUUUUGCACCGAUUAUGCCUGUCGGAUUCCCGUGGGGAAUGCCGUCCAACUUUGUGCCCCAAGGCUUUGCGCCUACCUUUGCUUCCAUGCCGGCAUCUAGCCCGGUCAUGUUCGUGCCACCUCCCGUUGUGCACACCUUGCCUCGCGUAGAGGACACCAUCUGUCACUCCGAGCUGUCUGAGGGUCCGGAUGUCUAUGAGAAAAUGGAUGAAAUAAAGGAACAGUUUCUUGAGUUGCGCAAGGACUUGAAGACGCUGAGAGGUAAGGAUUUGUUUGGGAAGAGUGCUGCUGAGUUGUGUUUAGUGCCCAACGUCAAGAUCCCGGUGAAGUUCAAAGUGCCUGACUUUGAAAAGUAUAAAGGGAACUCUUGUCCGCUCAGCCAUCUUGUGAUGUAUGCUCGCAAGAUGUCUACUCAGACCUACAAUGAUCAAUUGCUUAUUCACUACUUCCAAGAUAGUCUGACCGACGCUGUGCUCCGUUGAUACAUGGGAUUGGACAGUGCCAGCAUUCGCACUUUCAAUGACUUGGGGGAGGCUUUUGUCAAGCAGUAUAAGUAUAAUGUGGACAUGGCGCCUGAUAGAGACCAGCUGAGGUUUAUGUCUCAGAAAGAUAAGGAGAUAUUUAAAGAGUAUGCGCAGCGGUGAAGGGAAUUGGUUGCCCAGAUCACUCCUCCUUUGGAGGAAAAAGAGAUGACAAAGAUCUUCUGGAAAACUCUGAGUUUAUUUUACUAUGAACGAAUGAUUGCUAGUGCCCCCAGUGACUUUACCGAAAUGGUAAACAUGGGGAUGAGGCUUGAGGAAGGAGUCCGAGAGGGACAUUUGUCAAGAGAUGAGGCAUCAACAUGCAAGAGAUAUGGCAGUAAUUUUAGCAAGAAGAAGGACAAUGAAGCAAAUGCAAUAAGCAAUGGGAGGCAGAGGAGGCCUUAGAUCAGAAGGAAUCCAACAUCCCGUCAACAUCAUCAUCAUCAAGUAUCUUCCGUUAUCCUGGUAAUUUCUAAUCAACAAACAACACCAGUUUAAUAACAACAACGUCAACAGCAACAGCCGCAACAACGAACGAACACCUACAACAACAACAAUACCAACAACAAUCAUCAUCAACAAAACUUUGAGAGGAAGAACUCUACCCAUCCUGUGUCUUAUGCCCAAACAAUCUCUUUCGACCCGAUUCCUAUGUCUUAUGCAGAACUCUACCCAUCCUUGGUUCUCAAGAACCUGAUCCAACCAAGAAACCCGCCACAGAUUCCAGAGCCACUUCCUUGGUGGUAUAAACCUGAGCUUCGCUGUGCUUUUCAUCAAGGAGCCUCGGACAUGAUAUUGAAAAUUAUUAUCCACUUAAGUAUGAUGUUCAAAAGCUGAUGAGGAGUGGUACGGUAUCCUUGGAGGACCGAGCACCGAAUGUGAAAGCGAACCCGUUGCCCGCUCAUGGGAACUCUUCUGUGAAUAUGGUGGAUGGUUGCCCUGGGGAGUUUAAAGUUUUUGAUGUGCGUUUUAUCAGAAGAUCCUUGGUGCAGAUGCAUAAGGAUGUUUAUAUGGUAAGUGAAUGUGAGCACGACCAUGAUGGUUGUGUUGUUUGUAGUGUUAACCCGAGGGGUUGUGAAGUUGUGAAAAGGGACAUCCAACGACUGAUGGAUGAAGGAAUGAUUCAAAUUGUUCAAUCCCGUCAUGUAGAUGACGAUGUUAAUGUCAUAGUGCCUCUUUUCAAGCAGCCUGAGAAGUUGGUAAUCCAGUAUGACUCCAGUAACAGCAACAGUCAAAGAUCAGUAUCACUGUUGGUAAUACGGUUAGCGGGCCCAGUCCCGUAUUCAUCUGAUAAAGUUGUGCCGUAUCAGUAUAAUGAUACAAUGAUGAAGGAUGGUCAAGAGGUCCCGUUACCUACGACUAGUUCAGUAGUGAGCAUUACUGAUGUUACUAAGGUGACCCGUAGUGGUCGAGUGUUUGGGUCGGUGUUCCCAAAGGAUAAAGAAGAAUUAGUUGUGAGUAAGAAGGUAGAAGUUCCUGUUGAAGACUCAGUUGGCUUUUCACAAGGUAAGUAUGGUGAAUCCAACAACUUGAAACCCAAUGAUGAUGAUGAGGUACUCCGGUUAAUGAAAGGAAGCGAGUUUAAUGUGGUGGAGCAGUUGCUCCAAACCCCCUCGAAGAUCUCAGUGUUGUCUCUGCUCAUGAAUUCCGAAGCGCACAGAGAAGCACUACAGAGAGUUCUAGAGCAAGAAUUUGUAAAACAUGAUGUUACAGUAGAUCAAUUCGAUCAUAUUGUGGCUAACAUCAUUUCUUGUAAUAAUCUUAGCUUAUGUGAUGAAGAGCUCCCUGAGGAGGGCAGGAAUCAUAAUCUGGCUUUGCACAUUUCUACGAAUUGCAAAGAGGAUGCUUUGUCAAAUGUGCUUGUUGACACUGGGUCAUCACUGAAUGUGCUUCCGAAGUCAACUUUGUCAAAGCUAUCUUACCAAGGAGCGCCUAUGAGGUAUAGCGGCGUAAUCGUCAAAGCUUUUGAUGGUUCGCGCAAGACGGUUAUUGGUGAAGUGGACCUUCCAGUUAUGAUAGUCCUAGUGAUUUUCAAAUUACUUUCCAAGUAAUGGAUAUCCACCCGGACUAUAGUUUCUUGUUGGGAAGGCCAUGGAUCCAUGAGGCAGGAGCUGUUACUUCAACUUUUCACCAGAAGCUCAAAUUUGUCAAGAAUGGUAAGCUAGUGAUUGUUGGUGGAGAGAAAGCGUUGUUGGUUAGCCACUUGUCAUCUUUCUCUUAUGUCGAAGCUGAGGAUGAGGUUGGAACUCCAUUCCAAGUCUUAUCUAUUGCUGCUGAAAAGAGGGUUGGGGCACCUAUGUCCUCAUUGAAAGAUGCUCAGAAGAUCGUGGAAGAAGGCGAUGUUGAUCAGUGGGGGCGCAUGGUAGAAGUAUCCUACAACAAAGGCAAAACCGGUUUGGGGUUCCAAAAAGGUUCAUCAACUGCAAGGACUGAAGAUAUGCAACUUAGCUUCUGUAGCGGGGGGUUCAUUCCUGGCAAUGAAUAACACUUAGCUGUUGUGCUAUAGGAUGAUGAAGAGGAAGACUGCACCAAUUUUGUGACACAUGGAAAGGGUUGUGGCAAUUGGACUGCUGUUGAUAUUCCUGUUAUUUUGAAUCGAUCUAAGUAAUUGCUUUUAUAUGUUUUAAAAUCCUUCUCCUAUGCCUAAGGGAGAAGAGAACAUUGUUUGGGCAUUUACAAAUUGAUCAUUAAUAAAAUUAAUUCUAUUCAUCCACAUCUAUGAUGUUUACUUUUACUUUUUGCUUUAUUCUGAAAUGGUAAUCACAAAAAACAUAAAUAAACAAUACAAUUGUCCAUCUGCAUAAUAUUUGGUCACAAAUUCACUUCUCUAAAAUCAAAAUAUCAAAUCAUUAUGUAGGUUGGUUCCUAACCCCAUUGAAUACAAUGAUCCUUCUCCUUCUCCAAAUUUUGAAUUAUCUGCAUAAUAUUUGGUCACAAAUUCACUUCUCUAAAAUCAAAAUAUCAAAUCAUUAUGUAGGUUGGUUCCUAACCCCAUUGAAUACAAUGAUCCUUCUCCUUCUCCAAAUUUUGAAUUCCCUGUGCUUGAAGCCGAGGAGGAAAGUGAUGCGGAAGUGAGUGAUGAAUUAUCUCGUCUUCUUGAGCAAGAUGAAAAGACCAUUCAGUCGUUCGAAGAGAAGGUCGAGUUAGUCAAUUUGGGUUCCGAGGAUGAUGUGAAGGAAGUCAAGAUUGGGUCUCGCCUGUGUCCAGAAGUCAAGAAGGGGUUGAUUGAUCUUCUUCGAGAGUAUUCAAAUGUGUUUGCUUGGUCCUAUCAAGACAUGCCUGGUUUGGAUUCUGAGAUUGUGGAGCAUAGAUUGCCGUUGAAGCCAGAAUGCCUGCCAGUCAAGCAGAAGUUGAGAAGAACACAUCUUGAUAUGGCUGUGAAGAUCAAAGAGCAAAUGCAGAAGCAGAUUGAUGUCGGUUUCCUUAUAACUGUUGAGUAUCCGUAAUGGGGGGCCAAUAUUGUGCCAGUGCCGAAGAAAGAUGGAAAAGUACGCAUGUGUGUCGAUUAUAGACAUUUGAAUAAAGCCAGUCCAAAAGAUGAUUUCCCUAUGCCACACAUUGAUAUGUUGGUAGACAAUACUGAUAAAGAAAAGUAUUUUCAUUUAUGGAUGGACUUUCCAGAUAUAAUCAGAUCAAGAUGGCACCCGAAGAUAUGGAGAAGACCACAUUCAUUACACCUUGGGGAACAUUCUGUUAUAGAGUGAUGCCUUUCGGUCUAAAGAAUGUUGGUGCAACUUACCAGAGAGCAAUGACUACUCUUUUUCAUGAUGCUACAUAAAGAGAUUGAAUCCCAUUAAGUGUACUUUUGGUGUUCAUUUUGGUAAGUUGUUGGGCUUUAUUGUCAGCGAGAAGGGUAUUGAGGUUGAUCCUGCCAAGGUCAAAGCAAUACAAGAGAUGCUUGCGCCCAAAACUGAGAAGCAAGACAGAGGUUUUCUCGGCCGCUUGAAUUAUGUUUCCAGAUUCAUUUCCCACAUGACUGCCACAUGUGCGCCUAUAUUCAAGCUUCUUCGGAAAGACCAGUCUUGUGAUUGGACCGAAGACUUCCAAAAAGCCUUUGACAGUAUCAAGGAAUAUCAGCUUGAACCUCCGAUUUUGUCUCCACUUGUUGAAGGAAGACCAUUGAUUAUGUAUUUGACUGUGCUCGAAGAUAGUAUGGGUUGUGUUCUUGGUCAGCAAGAUGAGACUAGAAAGAAAGAAUUUGCAAUCUACUACCUCAGUAAGAAAUUCACCAACUGUGAGACUCGGUAUUCUAUGCUUGAGAAAACUUGUUGCGCAUUGGCUUGGGCUGCUAAGCGUCUGCGCCAGUAUAUGUUGAAUCAUAACACUUGGUUGAUAUCCAAAAUGGAUCCAAUCAAGUAUAUAUUUGAGAAGCCUUCCUUAACUGGGAGGAUUGCCCGUUGGCAGAUUUUGUUGUCAUAGUAUGAUAUUGAGUACCGAUCUCAGAAAGCAAUCAAAGGUAGUAUCUUGGCUGAUCAUUUGGCUCACCAACCAAUUGAAGAUUACCAGUCAGUGCAGUAUGAUUUUCCUGAUGAAGAGAUUUUGUACUUGAAAAUGAAACAUUAUGAUGAACCAUUGCUUGAAGAAGGGCCAGAACCUGGUUCCCGUUGGGGCAUGGUAUUUGAUGGAGCUGUUAAUCAAUAUGGAAAUGGCAUUGGGGCAAUGAUUAUUACUCCUCAAGGCACGCAUAUACCAUUUAUAGCUAGAUUGACUUUCAAGUGUACAAACAACAUGGCAGAAUAUGAGGCUUGCAUUAUGGGGCUUGAAGAGGCCAUGAAUCUCAAAAUCAAGUAUUUGGAUGUCUUUGGAGAUUCCACUUUGGUUGUGAAAUCAGAUCAAAGGUGAUUGGGAGACAAAUCAACCCGAUUUGGUACCAUAUAGAGAUUAUGAGAGGAGGAUUUCAACUUUCUUUACAAAGGUUGAGUUUCAUCAUAUUCCUCGAGAUGAAAAUCGGAUGGCAGAUGCUCUUGCAACGUUGGCAUCAAUGAUUGUGGUAAAGUAUUGGAAUGAAGUUCCUAAUUUGUCUGUGAUGCAUCUUAAUAGGCCAGCUCAUGUGUUUGCUGUGGAAAAGAUCAAAGACGAGAAGCCAUGGUAUAAUGACAUCAAAUGUUUCCUCCAAAGUCAGAUUUACCCGCCUGGGGCAUCUUUAAAAGAUAAGAAGAUUUUGAGAAGAUUAGUCGGCAAUUUCUACUUGAAUGGUGAUAUAUUGUACAAGAGAAACUUCGACAUGGUUUUGCUCAGAUGCGUGGAUAGACACGAAGCAAACUUGUUGAUGACCGAGGUGCACGAAGGUUCCUUUAGUACUCACUCCAAUGGACAUGCAAUGGCGAAGAAGAUGUUGCGAGCAGGUUACUAUUGGCUGACAAUGGAAUCUGACUGUUGCAAGUUUGUGAAGAAAUGCCAUAAAUGUCAAAUUUAUGCUGAUAAGAUUCACGUUCCUCCGACACUAUUGAAUGUUAUCUCUUCCCCAUGGCCUUUCUCCAUAUGGGGAAUUGAUAUGAUUGGGAUGAUUGAACUCAAAGCUUUGAAUGGACAUCGUUUCAUUUUGGUGGCAAUUGACUAUUUCACAAAAUGGGUUGAAGCGGCAUCGUAUGCAAAUGUAACCAAGCAAGUUGUUGUAAGGUUUAUCAAGAAUCAGAUCAUAUGCUGCUAUGGUGUGCCAAGCAAGAUCAUUACUAACAAUUGAUAAAACUUGAAUAACAAUAUGGUGGAAGCUCUUUGUAAAUACUUCAAGAUUGCACAUCAUAAUUCUUCUCCCUACAGACCCAAGAUGAAUGGGGUUGUUGAAGCUGCAAACAAGAACAUUAAGAAGAUGAUUCAGAAGAUGAUUGUCACGUAUAAGGAUUGGCAUGAGAUGCUCCCAUUUUCUUUGCACGGGUAUCGUACAUCCGUCCGCACUUCAACAGGGGAAACCCCUUUCUCUCUUGUGUAUGGUAUGGAAGUAGUGCUCCCCGUAGAGGUUGAGAUUCCUUCAUUGCGUGUGCUCAUGGAAGCCAAGUUGACUGAGGUUGAAUGGUGUCAAACUAGGUUUGACCAGUUGAAUUUAAUUGAAGAGAAGAGAUUAACUGCCAUGUGUCAUGGACAGUUAUAUCAACAGAUAAUGAAGAAAGCUUUUGAUAAGAAGGUCAAGCCUCGUAUGUUCAGAGAAGGUGACUUGUGCUCAAGAAGAUUCUAUCUUUCAAACCAGAUUCUAGGGGAAAAUGGACUCCUAGUUAUGAAGGACCAUAUGUUGUCAAGAGAGCCUUUUCAAGCGGAGCUUUGAUACUUACAACUAUGGAUGGUGAAGACUUCAUUCGUCCUGUGAACGCAGAUGCAGUCAAGAAAUAUUUCGCCUAAAAAAGAAAAGAACAGCUCGCUAAGUUGAAAACCCGAAAGGGCGGCUUAGGCAAAAAUGAGCGUCUCGGUGGAUUGAAAACCCGAAAGGGCAGUCCAGGCAAAAGUUAGAGACAUAAAAAAACAAAAAGAAUUUCCCAAUAAGUUGAGUACCCCACCUUGGGGCAACUUACGCAAAAAUUAGGGAUUAUGGCAAGUAAUUGCAUUUUGCUGAUCUUCAGUGUUUUGAAAACUUGAUUGAGCACAAGGGUUGACAUCAAUUCAUCACCCCAGUAGCGGUCAAGAGCAUAGUGGAUAUCAAGAGUUGGUAGAAGGAUUAAGGAUCAUUUGUAUUCAAUGUAGCCCUUUUCCAUGUAAAUUACCAUUUUCACCUUUGUAAAGAUCUAUGGAGUCUUGUCAUUUACAAACUACCAUUCUAUUAAAUAAAGUUGAGCUUUUAUCCAAUUUUUCUACUCUUAUUUAUUUCAGCCAAUAGUUUAAAUUUAUUAUGAUCAUUUUUGAAAAUUUAAAUUUUUUAAUCAAAAUCUCUUUUUCUUAAAACAUAUAAAAGCAAGAAUUUUCCAAAGCAAUUGAAUAUCAACAGCAUUUGGAUGGAUAACAAGUCCUUGAGUGCGAAACAUCAGAGGUUCCCCAAGCAGUUCACCCUUCGGGUAUCCCUAGACGAUUGUGUUGAUUCAGUUCCUUGGCGGAGUUUUUGAUUCCCUAGUGGAGCUUUGUUCCUUUUCCCUAGCUGAGUUGGUUGAUUCAGGUACCAUGCGGCUUGUCUCCCCCGACAGAGUUUCUGCCCUCCCCAAUGGAGUUCACGUUCCUUCAGCAGAAGUGAUUGAUAUCCCCAGUAGAUCGCAUUGGUUUCCCCUCCAAUCGCCAUUCGACUUGCUCCCCAGUCAGAGUUUUCUCCUGGUUUCUAAGCAGUUUAUUUCCCUGUAGGGUUGUCUCCCAUUUUUAUGGUGUUGACCUAAAAUUCCCCACAGGUUCGAUGAUAUUUCUCUUUCCUCAGCAGAUCUCCUCCUUCCCCAGUUAGGGUUGAGCCUUUUUGGAUUGUUGAUCUCUCUGUUCUCCAGCAGUUGUCUCCAUAUUUUGUGGAUUGACCGAGGAUUGUAGCGAUUAUUUAAUUUCUUUGCGACACCUUUGUAUCCUUUGUGAUCGUUCUUGUCAGCAUAAUCAUAUAUAUAUAUAUAUAUUAUAUAUAUAUAUAUAUAUAUAUAUAUAUAUAUAUGAUAUAUAUAUACAUUCAUAUAAUUUCAUAAUUACAUAUUUGCAUAUUUGAUUAAAUUGUUGGUUUGAGAUUCUCAUUCCCUGUAUGGCGGUACUUUAUCCCCAUACAAAUUCCAGUGUCUGUCCUCCCUCAAUUGUAGAGCGUUAGCCCCUUAGGAAGAAAGACUUUAACCUUUCUCCUCUUUCCUAUUGAGUUGUUUCCUCGUGGAUGAUUAAUAUUUUAGUUUCCUCCCCAGUUGUUCAUCUGGAUGGAACCACUCCCCUUGAGUUAUGUCCCAAUUGGGUUGAGUCUUGAUUGACUGUUUCUUUCUAGCUCCUACCUAGAUAGAUACUUUGAAUCCCCUAAGAGUUUAUUUCUCAAUAACUGGUAAUAUUCUUCUUAGUGUGCAGCUUGUUACUUCUUGCCCAAUACCCGGCAAAAGUAUCACAGUUUUCCCAGCAGUAGAAUCCCUAAUGGAUUUGAUUCCCCAGGAAGUAUAUCCUUGAUAUGUUCAUCCUAACCGGUGACGGAUAUCUUUCUUUCCCCUGCCUGAGUCUAUCCUCGAUAUGUUCAUCCUAACCGAUGACGGGUAUUCUCACCAUUGGUAUUCUACCUAGUAGAAAGGUAGUUGUAAUCCCUAUUCUUGUUUCCCAGAGAGUUAAUCCUUGAUAUGUUCAUCCUAACCGAUGACAGGUUUCCUUCUCUUUGCGGUCUUAUACCAAGUAACCGGUAGUUGUAAAUCCUUCUUUUGUCCCCUCCGCAGAGUUAAUCCUUGAUAUGUUCACUUUUACUAGUGACGGAUUCUCUCUCUUGGUAUUCUAUCCAAUAAUUGAUAGAUGUAAUCCCUAUUUUCUCCUCUCUCAGAGUCUAUCCUUGAUAUGUUCAUCUUCACCGGUGAUGGAUUUUCUCUUUGACGGUAGUCUAUCCAGCAUUUGAUAGAUGUAAUUCCUAUUUUUUGUUCAGUUGGUUUAUCCUUGAUAUGUUCAUCUUAACCGAUGACGGGUAUCCUCCUUGAAAUUUCCAAGGCAAGUCUAUCCUUGAUAUGUUCAUCUUAACCGAUGAAGGAUUUUCUUCCCUAUUGAGUUUAUCCUUGAUAUGUUCAUCCUAACCGAUGACGGAUACUCUCAUCCUUGGUCUUCUACCCAGUAACUGGUAGUUGUAAAUCCUAUUUUCUGCAGUUUUCCCCAGCAAGGCUAUUCUUACCCAAUAACCGGUAAUGAAUACUCCCUCCUGGCAUUUCCCAACGAGUCAUCCUUGAUAUGUUCAUCCUAAUAGAUGACGGAUGUCCUCUCUGUCAGAUUUGUAUUAUCUCCUCACCCAGAAACAGGUAGUAGAUGAUAGAUUUCUUCUCCUCCUGUGUUGAAGUUUAUUUCUUCCCCAGUCUAGUUGAGUGGGCAUUUCCUUAGUAAAAUCGCUUUUCCUGCGUGAUUCAAGUACUUCAAUUUUAUCCUGACUUACUCGUAUCCCCUGUAGAUGUUGUUGUUCCCCGGCUGAGUCUUUUCCAUGUUUGUAUGGAAUUCCUCGAGUCCCCUGGUAGUUUUAAGCCGUAGCCUGGCCUACGCAUAACUCCUUUUUCCCCAGAGUCUCUGUCUCCCCAAUGAGUUUUCCUUACGAAAUAUGUUAUACUCCUGUGGACUUUCGGUCUCUCUGAUUUCUUUUCCUUUGUGGCAAUAUUUCCCCACAGAGCAUUAACUUUUACAUUCAUGUCAUAUGCAUCAUGAGGUCUCUUAGGGACCAAAAUUUGUUUCUGUGUUGUUAUUUAAGCCCAUUCUACUGAGUCGACAUGAAGAUUUUAACCUUCGCCUCCUCGGCUAGAAUGUUCUUAAAUAGGGGCAGCUGUAAGACCCCAAUUUUGACCCUAAGAUCCCUCAUGCAAUUUCAUCAUAAACAUUAUCAUUGGGAUCAUACCUUGGAAUCCUCCUUACCCCUCUUUCAUUGGGUUUGUUUUGGGAGAGAUCACCAAGCACUAUAUGAUUGUAUCAUACUUGUAUUUUAUCAUUUUACUAGCCAAAAUACAAAAAUAUGUCUUUGCAUUUGCCUAACUCUUUUGUAGGUAGGGCAUGAUCACCAUUGAUUCAUCAAGUUCAUAUCUAGGGUUUGAGACCCUCAUGACAAAUAGCACAACCAUGAAUUGAUCCAAUAAUGGUUAAAAGCAUCAUAUAUGAGUCUUAAUGAUCUCUACAUGUUAUUUUGAUCAAGCAUUCUUCAAGAGUUUAAGGGUGAUUUGCCUUGGAAACCCUAGUUUGACUGGGUAUCUUAAGUAACUUCUCCAACAAGCUAUCUCACUGGUUGAUCAAAUUUCUUAAGGGAAACUUCAAAAUUCAUCAUCUUAUGCAUAUAUGAUCUACCAUGAGCCUAGAAAGUCAAAGAUAAUUGAAGAUUAGCAAGUUGGUUGAUGGUGGUUGGCCAGAUGAAUUCAUCUGAUCAAAACUGGGUCUCCCUAGACCCUAUCUCCUACAAUUUUCUCCAUAUGAAAAUUAUUCCAAGAGAAAACUUACUCUAAUGACAUUCCAAACAACUCUCAUGUUGAGACCUAGAUCUAGUUUUGCUUGGAAAAUCAUUUCCUAUGUUGAAACAUUAUAGGUCAUUUUGUCUAAACCGUAAUUUGAAAGUCAACUUCCCAAGGCCAUAACUUGCUCAAUUUUUAUGAGAUGAAAUAUUUCCAAGUUUCACAAUAAAAUUCAAUAUGUCUACUUCAACUUUGAUGUUUGGAGUGAGACCUAAUUCAACUUUUAUGAGCAUGUGAUAUGAGGCUACAUUAUAGGUCACUUUUGACCUAUACCAUUGAACAAGUGAUUUUUCCAAACUUCAAAAAUGCAUAACUCUACAUUUCAAAUCUAAAUGACAUGAAAUUGGUGACCAUUUUUAAUGUCUUUGAAAGUGAUACAACUUUGAUGAAGACACUUUUCUCAUUUGAGGCUCACAUAAAAAGUUAAGUAAGGUGGAAUAUUGAGACAUAUGGCUUGACACUUAGAAAAAAUUUUAACAUGUUGAAAUUUCCAAACUUCCACCUCAAAAUUCAUCAUGAUACAAGCUUCAAAUGGAAAAGUGUUGAACAUGAAAGUUGUUCCUGUUGAUCUCACCUUUCCAAAAAGUCCAAAUUCAUCCAUUUUGGACAAGAAUUAAAUAGGUUGCGCAUGGCUUGAACAUUGCAUCAUCAUUUGACAAAGAUCAAACUUCAAGUUUCCAUGUACACUUGCCUUGCAAUCCAAGUUGACUUCAGACUCUCUCACACUCAUUUGUGGACCUAAAGCAAUGAUCUCAUGGGCCUGUACACGCUCAUGCACUCAUGCAUCAUCCAUUGCCAAUUCUGGAAAGUCAUUCGGAAGGUGCAAUUAUCACUUGAUCCAGCUAUAAAUAGAGCUCCAUAUGCUUAGAAUUCAACACACAUUCGCACCAACUUUGAUCCUAGACCCCUAACCCUUCCAUUUGAAAGGAUAAUCCUGAGAAUUUCAUAUUGAAAUUGAGUUUGAAUCUCACUGUGUUUAGAUUCAAAACUCCAGGGAUCCAAGACCUUUUGUGCAUUUCAUUCUACUUCUGCAAGCAUUCUGAGUGAGAUCAAGCACGAGCCAAGGCAAGAACAGUUGAAUCCAGACCUGCAUUGAAGGUAUUUUUGCAUUUCAUUCUACUUCUGCAAGCAUUCUGAGUGAGAUCAAGCACGAGCCAAGGCAAGAACAGUUGAAUCCAGACCUGCAUUGAAGGUAUUUUCCAGAAAAUUUCAUCUCUUCGAUUCUCUCUCAAUAUUGCUCAAUUCUCUUGAUUCUUUGAUUGUCUGAAGUCCUACCAAUGUAGGCAAGAAGAUUGUGUUGUUUAGAGGUCAAAUCGAAGCAACUCAGUUGACACACCUCAAAAUUCAACUCCUCAUAUCUUUCUAUAUAUGUGGAGUUAGUUAAAAUUGAGGUCAAAUUUGUGCUCUACGCCAUUUUUUCUUUCAGAUCAUGUCCUCUUUUUUCAUUUUCUUGAUGGUGAUGAGUGAACCAGUCCAGCCAGGGUCACCGGAGAAGAUGACCGGCCUUUGGACGCCGGUGAUGUGUUGGCACGGUUCAGAGCCAUUGAUCUCUUUUAAAAAAAUUUAAUCUCGUGCGUUGUUUUUAAUUACCAUGCAUGUGCCGCGUUGACUCAAGUCUACCAUGGAACGCGCGCUGGUGGCCACUUAAUGUGCCACCUCAAUUAAUGAGGGAGAUCAAGUGGUCCAUGUUUUUUCUGAUUAUUUGAAUUUCAUUUUAAUUGCUUUAUUUUCAUUAAUUCAUAUUAAUUUUAAUAUUGAUCCAAAAUAUAUGAGAGUUUCACCAAAUAAUUUCAAAUAAUUUCCUCUUUCAUUUUCUGAAUUAAAAUUAUUUUUUGGAUCAUUAUUAAUAUUUUUCAUGAUUUAAUUGAUUUUUCAUUUGUUUUUAAUUGUUUAAAAAUACUUUUAAGUCUUCAAAAAUUCUGAAAAUUUUUCUCCAAGGUAAUUGAUUUUUCAUUUGUUUUUAAUUGUUUAAAAAUACUUUUAAGUCUUCAAAAAUUCUGAAAAUUUUUCUCCAAGGUCCUUUGACCUUGUUUGACCUAUGAUAAAUCUCAUGGCCAUUUAUUUGGUAUUUUGAUGAGGUUUUAGGAAUUUGACAAACCAUAUUUAAUUUAAAUGUAUUACUUUAGUAUUUUUAAUUUGAAUAAAUGCCAAAUAAUUUUGUUGACCAAUUGUGAUAACUUGUUUGUGUUUGACUCUUGUUGUUAGGCCUUGGUCAAGGUUGAUUUGACUUUGUCAAGUUAAUAUCAUUGGAUUUAGGGAAUUGGUGGAAUGUACAUUCCAUAUCCCAAAAUGAAUGGAUGUUAUUAAUUUGGUAAAAGUCCUCCUUUGGCCAAUUUGUGUUUUGAUCCAUUCCCCUCCCACUUCAUCUCAUUACCUUUCUUUAUGCAUUCAUCUCAUUUGGCCUAUGAUAUCUCAAAGUUCUAAAGCUAGUUUAUUAAAAUUAACAUGAGUAUGGAUAGGAUUAGGCCACACCUUUUGCAUAUUCUUUUUGUGUGUGGUAUGUUUCAUGAGCAUAGUCCAUAAUACUAUGUCUCUAACAUGCAUUAACACCAAAAUUCUAUUGCCCGACCUCAAAUAGUUGUGACUUUUAGGCCACACCUUUUGCAUAUUCUUUUUGUGUGUGGUAUGUUUCAUGAGCAUAGUCCAUAAUACUAUGUCUCUAACAUGCAUUAACACCAAAAUUCUAUUGCCCGACCUCAAAUAGUUGUGACUUCUAUAUAAGCCCAAUUACGAUUGCUUAACAUAGUGCUAAAUUUGUGACUUAAAAGGCAUAACAUUCUAGUUAGUGAGAUUGUAAGUCUCCCCUCUUUCAUGGUAUUGUGUGGAGGCCUUUUUUCCUUCCUUUGGAAGAUGUCUUGGUUUAAGGAUUCAUGCUUGUGAUAAGUGGGUUGAGUGUUCUCCAAAGAAUGUCUAAGAAUGAAAAGCAAAAGCAAAACAAUACUAACUUCUAACCUAUUAACAACUAACUUUUAAUUUCAAGCCAUUUGCUUUAAUGUCAUUUAAUUCUAACUUAUAUUCAUUUGCCAUUGUUCAUAUCAUUCUAAUUGUUUAUGUUAAUGCAAUUUUCACUUUGUCCACUUGGACCAUAUUGUGUGAUAUAUUUUGUUUGUGUAUACUUUACUUCUUUGUGUCGUCUUUGACCAUUAAUGUACAUAAUAACAACAAAAACCCUAAAAAACAUGUGUGUAGACUGUUGGCUUGAUCCUAGACAAAUGGACUUAGAAAUUAGGCAACAUUCCUAUGCUAAAGGACUUGGCCAAUGCCAACUUAUUGAGAAACCAAGUACUUGCAAUUUGAAACUUCAUCUGAUACAUCAUUCAAGAUCCCUCUGAGUUCAUCUGCAACAUGAUCAUUGUGAAGCUAUUAUUUUGAACCUGUGACUUGUGGAAUUCAUUUGCAACAUGGGCUAUUUUGAAGAAGAUCAUGGAAUGGAUAAGCUUGGAUGUGGCUAUCUUUAUUUGAUGCCUUUGCUCUUCAAGAUAAUAUAAUUGUGCAUUUGUGUGUUGCUUGAUUCUAAAAUGUCCAAGGGGAUUCUGGGUUUCUAUUGACAUUCUUGUCUAUUGGAUUGCUACCCAUUUGGUCAGAUCUUCCCAACUCUCAACUUUUAAUUUUGUACAUAGGAUUAGUCUCUUCAUCUUCUCCCCAUUUCUUUAAUUUCAAAAAUCUCUCUCCCCCCUUUUCAAAAAUCUUCUUUGAUUGAACUUAUUUUGUUCUAAACUUUGACCACUUUGCAAAAAGAUAGAAACUUUGGCCUUAUGCCAUUGUAUUUUCAAACUUCUUUUCUUAAAUCAAACUUGUAAAUAAACUUAACCAUACUUGACUUAAACUUUAAAAAGCAAAAACAACUAACUCAUUCAAACCAUUUUUAGGCCUUUGUGCCUUUCAAACUUAAUUUUGUUAAAAGCAAUGCAUUCACUUUGAAAUUUGUAUCGCAAACUAUGAGGCUUUGAUCCCUCAUUUUAUGUUGGUACGUAGGCACAAGACCGAAGGUCUUGCCAAACACAAAAAUAUAAUUAAUGAAUUCUUUUCUCAUCCCCCCAUUCUAUUUAUUUGUAAACAUCAUUUUGUACCAAUACAUAUGCACACAAAAAGGGCUCCCUAGGAGUACCUAGGACACUUUGGUGCUAGACAUCCCGUUUUCCCCUCUCGUGUAAACCAACCCCCUUACCUGUAAUCUCUGACAUUUUAUUAGUUUUGAUUUGAAAACUUCUUACAUUUGGGUUUUGUUCGUACUUUUUCCCUUUUCCCUUGGAAACAAUAAAAGCGCGGUGGCGACUCUUGUUAUUUGAUCUCUAGCUUAUCUAUAGCUUGAUGAUCAUGAAUUUACCGCUACAAUAUGGAUGCGUUGAUUGAGGCAUUGGUGGAACGUGCGCGUGUGUCCAUCAGAUCUACCACCUCAAUUAAUGAGGGAGAUCUAAUGACUUUUGUUUUUUCUGAUUUAUUUUAUUUUCUAAAUUGAUUUUUAAAUUGGAUUUUCUUCCAAAAUUCAUUAUAAUUUCAUUUUUAGUAAAAAAAAUUAUAGGACCAACACCAAAAAUUCACAAAUAUUUUCCUCUUCCCACUUUUUAUUUAAAAUUAAUUUCUGGAUUAAUUUUGAUAUUUUUGGUGAAUUUUGUGAUUUUUAUCUUAUUUUAAUUUAUUUUUAAUUGCUUUUGACUUUUCAAAAAUGCCAAAAAAUUUAGUAAAUGGUCCUUUGAUCUUGUUUGACCUAUGUAAAUCCCUUGGCCAUUUCUUUGGUGUUUUGAACGGAUUUUAGGCUUUUGAUGUUUGAAAAUUUAUUUUCUUCAUUUUUAAAAUGCUUUAAAAUUGUUUUAAUUGAUUUAAUGCUUUGUUGAGCUUUUGUAUUGACCUUACUUCUGUUUUGCCUUAGUCUUGAUUGAAUUGGAUCUUAAUUUGGUCAAUAACAUUGGAUUUAGGGGGUUGAUGAAGUUUGAACUUCAUCCCUCAAGAUGAAUGAAUGGUAUUGAUCAAGUGAGGUUUAUCCCUUGAUCAAUUUGGGAUCUAUUUCAUUUCAUCUCUCCAUAUUCAUCUUGUUUCUUCCCCAACCAUCUCUUGGCCAAUGACUUCUCAUGGAUCUGUGCUAGUUGAUUCAUCAAUGACCUUGUGUCAGAUGAAUCAACAUGAGCUUGAUUGGGAUAUGCUCAUCCCCUCUUAUUUUUGUGUGUGGUAUGCUUUAUGAGCUUGGUCUUGAUACAUUGUCUCUAGCAUACAUUAACACCAAUAGUAUUAUUGACUGGCCUCAGAUGGUUGCGACUUCUACAUAAGUCCAAUUACGAUUGCUUAACAUAGCACUAAAUUUGUCCCAAAUGCAAUAGCAUUUUUGUAAGUGAGAUUGUAAGUCUCUUAUUCCUCAUGGUAUUGUAUGAAAAUUUUGCUCCUUUUCAUUUGUAAUAGCUACUGGAAUACUUGUUGAUUUUAUCCAAGUUGGAGCCCUUCUCAUGAAUGAUGUAUAGGUUCAUAUUUUCAUGCUUGUGAGUUGAUAGUUGAGUGUUCUCCAAAAAAUGACUAAAAACAUCCUUUCUUCUUCCACUAACAUUCACUAACAUCUCUUUAGUUAACAUUAUUUGAAUGUCAUUUACUUCAUGCCCUUAUUUCUUAUUAUUUACUUUAUUCUUUUAUUUUAGCAUCUCAUAUCAUAUUUGCUCUUUGCCCACUUGGGCCUAUGUUUAUGCUUCAUUCAUUUUCACUUUGCUCACUUGAGCCAUUAUUUUUAUGCUUGUUAUACUUUUGUGCUUGUGAUUUUGUUUUGUUUGUGGUAUUAGGACCUUAAAAUACUUAAUAAAAACAAAAACCCUAAAAAACACAUUGGUGGACUGUUGGAUCUCUGUCUGUGACUUGAUUUGGACCUAUGGACUAAGAGUAGGAAACAUCCCUAAGCUAUGGAAAAACUUGGCCCAUGCCAUUCAUAUGAUACAAGUUAGAGAAACUCCCUUCGGUUUAUCUGAUACACUCUUUUUCUGUGUCUAAGUUGUUAUUUUGACCUUAUUGUCACUAUUUGAUGCUUUGUCUUUGAGUAUGUUUCAAGGGAUUAUUUCAUCUGAUACAUAUAAAAGACAUUGAAGAUUGCUUGCUUUGGAGUGCUAGCUUGGAUGUUUGGUUAUCUUUAUUUCAUACCAUUUGGAUUUCUUAUUAAUUGCUUGGAUGAUUAUGGCUUUUUUGCUUGCUUGACAAUCCAAAGGAAAUGGGUUUUUAUCUGACACUUUUGUCUUGUGGAUGCUUCCCAUGGGUUAGAUAUUUUCAAAUCUAAACUUAAAUAUUAUCUAGAAUAGUCCCUUCAUCUCCACCCAUUCUUCUUUAAUUUCAAAAUCUUCCUCUCAUUUUCAAAACUUCUUUGCUUGUUGUUUUCAACUUAGACUUGUUUUAAUGAGUAGAAACCUUGGCCUUAUGCCAUUGAUUUUCAAACUAUUUUCUUAAUCAAACUUUGAAAAAAGACUUAAUCAUAUUGACUUUAUUUUCAAAAAAGAACUAACAACCUCAUCUAAUCAAUUUGGCCACUUUGUGCCUUUUCCUUUUAACCUUUUCAAAAAUAAAGCAUUUAGAUUUGAGUUAUCCUUGGUUGAGAUGUAAUCCUCCUAUUCCACGAUAUGUUGAGUGUAAGACUUUCCAUUUAUUAGGGGUUAGUGGCAUACUUGUUGAUUUAAUCCAAGUUGGAUCCCUCCCUCUUAAAUGUUGUAAAGCGCUCAUUAUCGGUGGAUGUUUGGUUGAGUAUUCUCCCUUUGAUAACAAAAUAUCUUUAAGCUUUUGUUAAAAUAAAUCCACCCAUCUUUGAAAUUUUUACCAUGAACUACGAGGUUUUGAUCCUUCAUUUACGUUGGUACGUAGGCAUAAGACCAAAAGUAUUGUCAAACACAAAAAUAUAAAUAAAUGAAUUAUUUUCUCAACCCAUCAUUCUAUUUUAAAACAAACAUCUUUUUUCAACAAAAACACUUACACACAAAAAGGGCUCCCUAGGAGUACCUAGGACACUUUGGGUGCUAAUACCUUCCCUCUGUGUAACCCACCCUCUUACCUUUAAUCUCUGACAUUUUAUUAGCUUUGAUUUGAAAAGUUCUUAUCUUUGGGUUUUGUUCGUACUUCUUCCCUUUUCCUUUGGAAACAAUAAAAGUUCGAUGGCGACUCUGGUUUUAUUGACGUUGAGUUAACCAAUAGCUCAAUGGUCAUGAAUUUAACGCUACAGAAAAAAAGGGUGACUCUGCUGGGGAGUAGUCCCAAGUUGGUUUAGCCUACUUUUUGUGUGUAUUAUAUUUGUUAAUUAUUGAUGUUUAUUUGUUUGUAUAUAUUGUAUGUUAUUUUUUGUCUAUUGUGCUUAGUGAUCUCUGUGUGGUGAGAUAAGUUCUAUACCCGAACUUGACUGCAAUCUAAGAUAGGAGGUUGGUAUAGUCAUGUUGUCUUUGAUGGAGUUAUUGAAGGUUGAGAAAAACAAGAAAGGGGGUUUGAAUUGUUUUGGAAAUAAAAACUUUUUCAGAAAUCAGACACACACAAAAAAUGACAGAAUUUUAUACUGGUUCGCUUGAAGUUCAAAGCUACUCCAGUCCACCCGGCCAAGGUGAUUUUGCCUUCAAAAAGGACUUAAUCCACUAAUCUUGAAAGAUUACACAACCAAGCGUCUAAGAGAAUAAUCUUUCAUCCCUCUCAAGUAUUCAGACUGCGCAAAGUCACUUGAGGAAGUAGUUCAAGCAAGAGUAAAUUGUAAUGUAAAGUGCUUCUAACAAAAAGCAAAUAUUACAGAAUUAUAAGAGCAAAAGCUUUUCACGUAAGAGCAGUAGCUCGUGAAAAAGUGAGAGAGGAUGAAUGAGAUUUCUUAUGUGUCUCAGGUGUAUUCUCUUGUGAAGUAUUCCGUCCUUUAUAUAGUUAUUGUGAAGGACCGUUGGAGUGAUGACAGAAUCUUGGUCAUUGAAGAAUGAUUAAUGUCAUUACUCUCCUUGUUUCUUUCUAAAACCGUUUUGCAUGACUCAUUAUUCCCUUCUUGAAAUACUUUCUUUCCACAUUAAGAUUCUUGUCGGUUACGCGUUCUGGACUGGUAAAUCUACGUCAGAGUCUUGAUAUAUCAGAGUUUGUCUUCAGAGGAUAAUUAUGUAUAAUCCCAUCAGAGCUUCUCAAUUCUCUAGACUUCUUUAGUAUCAGAGUCUGGAUUUAGUAGUCGUUUAUCAGAGCUUCUGACUUCUUAAUGUUGCGCUGGUAUCUGCGUUGAUCAGAAUCAGAAUCUUUUGGACGCAUCCUUUCUGAGUGGCAUCUGAUCAUUGAAUAUUUUAUAUCUUAUGUAAUUUUCUAUCUGAUGUAUGGUCAACAUCCAGCAUAAAUGGUCAGAGUCCUGCACACUAAGAAAAAAAAUCUUGUUAGAGUACCAUUUUUGUUUCUUCCUUUGUUAUCAUCAAAAUCUUAGAGAUAUAUUGUAGAACCAACUUUGUUCUUACAAUCUCCCCCUUUUUGAUGAUGACAAAAUAGUUCAGAGUAAAGAUGAAACAUUUAAAGAAACUCUUAGAUCAGAUAGUACAGUGGGCUCCCCCUGAGUUAGAUCUUUGGAUAGCUCAGAAGUUCUUACCGGACCUUCCUUGGUUUGGUGCUUUUAGUUAUUUUCCUGCAUAUCUUUAGUCAUUGAUUUAGUAAUGGUUUAUUGAUAAUGUUUGUAGUGCUUGAGAUGAAUUAGUUAUGUUUUCAUCAGAGCUGUUUUAGUUCUCCCCCUUUUUGUCAGAAUCAAAAAGACAUAGCAGUAAAAAAGUUGAUAUUUAUAGAGAAGCAUUUACAGAUAAGCACAUAUGUCAAAAAGCAGAAAUCAAGGAGCAAACAAAAAACAUAGAAAGCAACAAGCAAAUAGCUUAGGUGCCUAAGGGUUUGGAGGCGGAGGCAUCCUUUGGAGCAGCUGGGAUAACAUGUUCUGAAUGUUAACAUUGACAGAGUCCUGUUGAUCCAGUCUGACUCGAACUAUCUGUUGUUCUUUCUGCAGUUCCUCUAGAGUCUUCAAAAACAAAGGGACGAACCCAGAGUUGGAGUGCUCCCCCUGGGUCAGUUCAUCCGUGUUGGCUUUGGCAGCAGCUUCUUCAGCAAUGUGAGCUGCUUCUUCAGCGUCGACUUUAGCUUUUGCCUCAGCCUCAGCAGCAGAAGCACCAGCAAUAGCCUUUGCUUCAACUUAUCUGAUUCUCUGAAGUUCUUCUUGAUGCGCUUUCUCUUCAGCUUCCUUCCUUGCCCGUUCCUCAGCUUCUCUGGCUAGGCGCUCUUGGAGUCUGAUCCCAGCGUCUCUAAUGAAGUCAUUGCGGACUUGUUCAGAGAGGCCUUUCAUCUUGAAGGCUUCAGAGGUCAUCCAACUUAUCACUCUGUUCCAGUGGAUCCUUACAGCAGAGGGAUCAUCACUGAUACCAGAGUUGAUGGUCAGAUACUUGACCUUCUCAACUGAAGACUCUGCAAAAACCUGGAUUGCUUCUUCAAGGGUAGGAAGGGUAGUUUUUGGUUCAGUGGAAGAGGCUGGGGAGGGUGAGGAGGGUGAGAUUGGGGUACUUAGAUUGAGUGUGGGAGUUGUUGGGUCAGCGGAAGUGAUGGGUGGUGGUACGUCAGAGGGGGUAUGUGAGGAUAGUUCAGGUUAUGGGGUUGGUUCAGAUGGUGGUUGGGUUGGUUGUGGUUCAGAGUGGGUUGGUUGUUGUGCAGGUAGUGUUUGAGGUGGUUCAGAUGUGGUUGGAUUUGGAUGUUCCGGAGGAGGGGAAGUGACUUAUGGUUUAGGUUCAGGAUGCGAUGGUUGUUGAGAGGCCAGAGCACGGGCUUGGAGCUGAGCCAGAGUGGGGGAUUGAGGGUCAGAUGGUUCAGUAUCAGAGGAGACUUCGUAAUAAGUUGGGGAUUGAGGAGAUGGUGAUGAUGAUGGUUUGGUGGUUUUGUUCAGCAUUUCUGCUUCUGAAACUGGUAAUGUUGUGGUGGCGAGGUUGAAUUUCAGAGAUGGUGGGUUAGAAGUUCUGGUGGUUGAGGGAGAAGUUUUAGCAGAGGUGUAUAUGGGAGUUGUUUGGGGAAAAGAAGAAGCAAUUGGUUUAAUUUUGACAGAGGGAGUGAGAGAUAUAGACUUACCUGGAGAGCCAACCAGAGGAACUGGGGGUCUUGAUCCAGAGGAUUCUCCCAGCUUAGCUUUCUUCGCCUUCUUGGACUUCUCAGAGGGCUCUCGCAUCCGCUUCAUGAAGUUUGGUGGAUGCUCAGGUAGCCAGUCCAUUAUGAAUUCAGAGAUAUCCACCCCUUGAUUGGCAAGGUCCUGUAGAUAGUAGGCUACUACCUCUAGAGGGUCAAUCUUGGAGAACAAGUAGAGUCCGUUGGGAAUCUCCCUCUGAUCUUUGAGUGUUUCCCAGAAGGUAUCAAGUGUUGGUUUGGCUCUGACUUGAUCAAUGAUUCCCAUGCUCUUCAAAUUCCGAGCAUUCAGAGGUCUUCCAGUGUCAAUGGUUAUAUCUUCCAUGAGUCUGAGCUGAAUCAGGUGGUCCACGAGGCCACUCUCGAUCAAUACAUCAGAUAUCAGUCUACACAAAGGGAUGUAGUUCCUUGUCUUCAUGUUGUUUUUGGUGUCUUUAACUGAAUCUCUGAGGUACUUGAAGAGGAGUGCAGGUAGACAGAGUUUCAGACCCUUGUGAAUGCAGUACAAGAUGCCCUUCAGAUCUGUGUUGAUGUAGUCAGAAGAGUUUGAAGUAGGACGAUGAUGGAUGGUGCCUAAGAUGAUCUUCAGCCAGACCCGGAGGUUAUGAUGUAGUUCCUUGUUCUUGGAAUGCUUGCCUUCAACACUCUAUUGGAAGAUGGUAGGGUUUAUUUCCUGGGACAAGUACUUUGCCCUAGGGUUUAUGUUGUAGAUGCGUCUACCUUCUGUCUUCUCCAUGUUCAGAAGAGAGGCAGUUGAUUUUUCAGUGAUAACUAUCUUGACUCCCAGAAUGUAGGAAACAAUGUAGUGAUCAUUUGAGUUUGCGAAACGCCAGAACUCCUUCACCAGAUUCGUGUACACAAGGCCAUAGAGGCGUUGAAAGUAAUUUUCCCACCCUUGCAUUUUCAGUUCUUCAGUGAGGUCGACGCCAUUACGCUUCAUGUUUUCGAAAUCAACCAAAGUUUCACAUAGAACUUCAAGCUUAUCGAAGGGAGUUUCUAGAUGAAUGUGGGGCUCACGAUCAAGGAUGUGGGGUUCCCUAUAGAUUGGAGUUGAGACGACCCGGGUGGUUGUAGUAGUUUAUUGGCUAGAACUGGGUGCUUUCUCUGUUGAGUUCAUCUGUUGGGAGAAGUUGUAAACUGAUUGUUGCUGAGAAUCCAUGAAGAACAUUUGAAGAUGAUGAUGAAGGUUUGAAGAAAUUUGAUGAAGACUGUAGAAAUCCUUUGAAGGAGAUGAAGAAUUGAGAUAGAGGGUUUUGUGAGGUCGUGAGUGUUAAAGUGUGCAAGUGUAGUUUGUGAAAUGAAUAUAUACACAUUUAGGGUGCAUGCAAAACGACAUUAGAAAGUGAGUUUAACAGAUAAGAAAUUAAAUGCAUCACGUUAACCAAGUAAGCACGUUUAGAGAAGAAUGAUUACAGCCCAUGAUGUAGGUCUAAUCCCCAAAUCAGCACACUGCUCGAAGAGAUAUCAAGAGUCUGUUUCUUGAUUUCUGCUAGAUAGCUGUCUAGAAGUUCCAAGGUCAGACGCAAGAUGUACCACGUGUUACUUAAUCUGAUCUUCAGGAAUACCAAAGGGUUGGAUCCUGAAUAUUUCUAACUCAGAUGACUUAUAACUGGUAGUAGCAUCACAGUCAGAUACAGAAUCCAAGUGUUUACUUCAAAGUCUUAUUUUGCUAUUUCAGAGGCACAUUUCAUUCUUAACAAUUUUCAAUGUUUAGAUUUUUCAAGAUAAAAGAGAAUCUAUCUUCAGCCAGGGGUUUGGUAAAAAUAUCAGCCCAUUGAUGGUCUGUAUAAAUAAAUUUUAAUGUUAUUACCCCUUUCUGAACAUAGAAUCUAAUGAAAUGAUGUUUUAUUUCUAUGUGCUUAGCUCUGGAAUGCAAAAUAGGAUUCUUACUUAAACAGAUGGCGGCAGUAUUGCCACAGAAGAUAGGAAUGUUACUCUCAAAGAUCUGAAGAUCUUCUAGUUGAUUCUUCAUCCAAAGCAUCUGAGUAGUGCAUAGUGAUGCUGAAAUAUAUUCUGCUUCUACAAUGGACAGAGCUAUGGUUGAUUGCCUUUUGCUAGCCCAGGAUAUCAUAUUCUUUCCCAAGAACUGACAGUUCCCAAAUGUACUUUUACGUUCCAUUUUGUCCCCUGCGUAAUAUGCAUCACAGUAACCAGAAAGUCUAUACUCUAAUGUUUUCUCAUACAUCAGGCCCAUGUUAGGGGUUCCUUUCAGAUACUUGAGUAUUCUUUUAACAGCUGUUAAAUGAGAUUCUCUAGGAUCUGAUUGGAAUCUGGCACAGAGACAUACACUAAACAGAAUAUCAAGACGUGUAGCAGUCAAAUAGAGAAGAGAGCCUAUCAUACCACGAUAGAGCUUCUGACAAACCUUCUGGCUAACUUCUUCUUUUUCCAGAAUGCAAGUUUUUGGAUGCAUAGUGUUCUUAGCAGGUUUGCAUUCCGCCAUUUCGAAUUUCUUCAGAAUGUCUUUUUAUGUAUUUACUUUGAUGAACGUAGGUAGCUUCUAAAGCUUGAUUGAUUUGAAUUCCUAGAAAGAACUUUAGUUCUUGCAUUAAGCUCAUUUCAAAUUCUGCCUACAUUAGCUCAGAAUUCUUGACAUACAGAAGGAUUAGCUGAACCAAAAAUAAUGUCAUCAACAUAUAUCUGGCAUAUCAUGAGGUCAUUACUAAUGUUUUUACAGAAGAGUGUAGAGUCAACUUUUCCUCUAAUAAAUUCAUGUUCCAGAAGAAAAUUGCUUAGUAUUUCAUACCAAGCUCUAGGAGCUUGUUUUAAAUCGUAUAAUGAUUUCUUAAGUUUAAAAACAUGUUCUGGACAACUGGAGUUUUCAAAACCUGGAGGUUGAUUGACAUACACUUCUUCUGAUAUAUAACCAUUAAGAAAAGCACUCUUGACAUCCAUUUGAUAUAGUUUGAUUGAGUGAUUUACAGCAAAUGAAACAAGUAAGCUAAUAGAUUCUAACCUGGCGACUGGGGAAAAGGUUUCGUUGUAGUCAAUGCCUUCUUGUUGAUUGUACCCUUGUCCCACCAGUCGAGCUUUAUUUCUGACAACUUCUCCUUUUUCAUUCAGUUUGUUUCUGAACACCCAUCUGGUUCCAAUAAUGUGAGUUCCUUUAGGCUUUGGAACAAGAUCCCAGACGUGAUUCUUUGAGAAUUGAUCUAGCUCUUCUUUCAUAGCUAGAACCCAGUCGUUAUCUUGAAGUGCCUCGUCAGAGGAAGUAGGCUCAAUUAGAGAUACUAGUCCUAGAGGGAUAUCUUCAGGUACCUUGAAUGUUGACCUAGUUCGAACAGGUUCAUCCUUGUUUCCCAGAAUCAAAUCUUCAGAGAUGUUGGGGAGGCUUCUUGAUUUCUUUUGGAUAGUUGAGGCUUUAGUUUCAUCUGGACUUUGUUUAUCAGAUACUUCUGGUGCUUUGGUCUUUUCGUCAGAACCUGCAAGAGUAAUCUCCAUAUCUGCAAGUUUCUCAACUAGCUUUGACUUUUCAGGGUCAAGCUUAUCAUCAAAUCUAACAUGAAUUGAUUCUUCCACAAUUUUGGUUUCUGUGUUGUAUGCUAUGUAGCCUUUAGAGCGUUCUGAGUAUCCUAACAUAAUACCUUUUUUGUGCUUUUGAAUCAAACUUGUUCAUAUGUUCUUUAGUGUUCAAAAUAAAGCAAGAGCAUCCAAAAGGAUAAAAAUAAGAAAUGUUGGGUUUUCUUCCCUUACACAGUUUAUAGGGAGUCUUCUCCAGAAUAGGUCUUAUAGAGAUUCUAUUUUGAAUAUAACACGUUGUAUUUACUGCUUCAUCCCAAAAAUGCUUAGCCAUAUUUGUUUCAUUGAUCAUGGUUCUGGCCAUCUCUUGGAGUGUCCUAUUCUUCCUUUCUACAACUCCAUUUUGUUGUGGAGUUCUAGGAUAGGAGAAAUCAUGGGAUAUUCCAUUAGAAUCGAAUAGUUCUUCAAAAAAAUUAUUUUCAAAUUCUCCACCAUGACCACUUCUGACUCUGAUGAUUUUGGAGUCAAAUUCGUUUUGCACUUUGGAACAGAAGCUAGUGAAUACAGAGUGAGACUCACUCUUGUGCUUUAGGAAUUUUACCCAUGUCCAACUACUAAAAUCAUCAACAAUAACUAGUCCAUAUUUCUUUAUGUUGACUGAUGUUGUUUUAACAGGUCCAAACAGAUCAAUGUGAAGAAGUUCUAGAGGCUUAGAGGUGGAAACAAUAUUUUUCUUUUUAAAAGAUGUUUUGGAAAAUUUCCCUUUCUGACAUGCCUCACAUAGAGCAUCUGAAGAAUACUUCAGGCUUGGGUAGACCUCUGACUAACUCGAGUUUAUUUAGCUGAGAGAGUUUUCUCAUGCAUGUGGCCCAAGCGUCUAUGCCAUACCCAUUGCUCUUCAUGAAUAGACAUCAGACAUUUUACAUUUUGUUCUUUUAAGUCUGAAAGAUUUAUUUUGUAAAUAUUGUUUUUCCUCUUGCCAGUGAAUAGGACUGUUCCAUUGUUAUGAUUAAUUGCUUUACAUGUUUUUUGAUUGAAGAUUACAUCAUAGCCGUUAUCACUUGAUUGACUUAUUGAUAACAGGUUAUGCAUUAAUCCUUCUACAUAGAGAACAUCAAAUAUAGAGGGAAGAGUUCCAUUACCAAUAGUUCUGGAGCCUCUGAUCCUUCCUUUCUGAUUUCCUCCGAAACCUACGAAGCCAGCAUCUUUAAGUUCCAGGCUUUAGAACAUAUACUUUCUUCCCGUCAUAUGUCGCGAGCAUCCAGAGUCCAGGUACCAUCACUAGUGUCUUAACUCUGCUGCAUAAGAUAUCUGCAACAUAAACAAUCUUAUCCUUUGGUAACCAGAAUCUUUUGGGUCCUUUAUGAUUAGUUUUCCCAGAGUUUCUUAGAACUUUGGGUUUUCUAGCAUUAUCAAAAUGUUGUGCUUUUGUAUGUGUGUAGUGAUAAGAAAACGGAGAUUUAGGUUUGUCAUUUGUGGAAGAUUUAUCUUCACUGGGGUCAUACCAUAUUCCUCUUUUAUUAUUCUGACUUACUCCAUAAAUCAUGGAUGCCAUUCUGCUUCUCUCUAUCCCAUUUUUCAAAAACUUUUGAAAAGAUUUUUCAUAUUCAUAAAUUACUGUAUUUGAAGUUUGUGGAGAUUGAGAUAACGCUUCUUCAAGUUUUAAAUAUUGUUUAUUUGUGGAGUCUCUUUCUAAUAUCAAGGUUCGGUUUUCAUCUUUUAGUUCUGAAACUGUCAUCUCAAGUUUACCACAUUCUUCGAUGGUUUCUUCAAGAACCUCUUUUACAGCUUUAAAUUUUUGUUUAAGUUUCUGAUAUGAGUUUAGAGUUUUUCGGUUUUCAUCUUUUAGUUCUGAAACUGUCAUCUCAAGUUUACCACAUUCUUCGAUGGUUUCUUCAAGAACCUCUUUUACAGCUUUAAAUUUUUGUUUAAGUUUCUGAUAUGAGUUUAGAGUUUCAAAAAGGCAUGAUUCAAGGUUAGAGCGAGAAAGAUCAGAAAAUACCUCUUCAGAUUCAGAUUCUCCAUCUGAUGUAUUUAUGGAGGUGGUAGCCAUGAGUGCAACAUUUGCAUGUUCUUCAGAGUCUGAUUUUCAGGAAUCAGAUCCACUGUCGUCCCAGGUGGCCAUUAGUCCCUUUUUAGUUCUGAAUGAAUUUUUCUUGAAAUUCUCUCUUCUAAAGCUUUUUUUCUUCAUCUUGGGACAUUCAUUUCUAUAAUGGCAUGUUUCCUUACAUUCAUAGCAUGUUAUAUCUUUGUUUGACUUACCUCUGGAAGUUGAUUUUGAUCGAUCCCCCUUGGGUCUUGGUCUUCUGAAGUUAUUAUUCCUUUUUCUCUAGAGUUGUUUUACUCUUCUGGUUAAAAGGGAUAAUUCUUCUUCGUCGCCAGAGUCUUCCUUCUCAGAGUCAUCAUUGUCUUCUUCUUCAGCCUGGAAGGCUUUGUUUCUAUCUGGCUUGCGUCUUUCAGAUCUGAAAUUUAGUGCUACAGACUUGAUCUUCUUUUAAGGUUCAUCUUCCUUCAGUUCUAUCUCGUGGCUUCUGAGUGAACUAACGAGUUCCUCGAGGCUGAUACUAUUCAGAUCUUUUGAUAACUUUAAAGUUGUGACCAUGGGUCUCCAUUUCUUUGGCAAGCUUCUAACAAUCUUUUUGACAUGAUCCGCAGUUGUGUAUCCUUUAUCCAGCACUUUGAGUCCUGCAAUUAAAGUUUGAAAUCUAGAAAACAUUACCUCUACAGCUUCAUCGUCCUCCAUUUUGAAGGCUUCAUAUUUCUGGAUUAGAGCCAGAGCCUUUGUUUCUUUGACUUGAGUACAUUACCUCUACAGCUUCAUCGUCCUCCAUUUUGAAGGCUUCAUAUUUCUGGAUUAGAGCCAGAGCCUUUGUUUCUUUGACUUGAGAAUUUCCUUCGUGAGUCAUCCUCAGGGAGUCAAGUAUUUCAUUAGUUGUUUCCCUGUUGGUGAUCUUUUCAUAUUCAUUGUAGGAAAUAGCAUUGAGUAGUAUCGUUUUGGCUUUGUGAUGGUUUUUGAAUUCACGCUUCUGAUCAUCUGACAUUCUGCUUCUGGGAAUAGCAACGCCAGCGUCUGUCGCAGGUGGGGUGUAGCCAAUUGUGACAAUAUCCCAUAGAUCAGCGUUGUAGCCCAGAAAGAAACUUUCAAUUCUGUCUUUCCAAUAAUCAAAUUUUUCUCCACCAAAGAUUGGAGAUUUAGCAUUGUAACUAUCUCUUUCAUUGGUGUUGGCCAUAGUUUUUCUCACGAUGGAUCUCUCUACACUGUUAAGUGUUAGAUUAGAGAAUCAAUAACAGAGCCGAAGCUCUGAUACCAAAUGAAGGUUGAGAAAAACAAGAAAGGGGAUUUGAAUUGUUUUGGAAAUAAAACCUUUUUCAUAAAUCAGACACACACAAAAAAUGACACAGAAUUUUAUACUGGUUCGCUUGAAGUUCAAAGCUACUCCAGUCCACCCGGCCAAGGUGAUUUCUCCUUCAAAAAGGACUUAAUCCACUAAUCUUGAAAGAUUACACAACCAAGCGUCUAAGAGAAUAAUCUCUCAGCCCUCUCAAGUAUUUAGACUGCGCAGAGUCACUUGAGGAAGUAGUUCAAGCAAGAGUAAAUUGUAAUGCAAAGUGCUUCUAACAAAAAGCAAAUCUUACAGAAUUAUAAGAGCAAAAGCUUUUCACGUAAGAGCAUCAGCUCAUGAAAAAGUGAGAGAGGAUGAAUGAGAUUUCUUGUGUGUCUCAGGUGUAUUCUCUUGUGAAGUAUUCCAUCCUUUAUAUAGUCGUUGUGAAGGAUCGUUGGAGUGAUGAUAGAAUCUUGGUCAUUGAAGAAUGACUAAUGUCAUUACUCUCCUUGUUUCUUUCUAAAACCGUUUUGCACGACUCAUUAUUCCCUUCUUGAAAUACUUUCUUUCCACAUUAAGAUUCUUGUCGGUUACGCGUUCUGGACUGGUGAAUCUACGUCAGAGUCUUGAUAUAUAAAAUUUUGUCUUCAGAGGAUGAUUAUGUAUAAUCCCAUUCAGAGCUUCUCAAUGCUCUAGACUUCUUUAGUAUCAGAGUCUGGAUUUAGUAGUCGUUUAUCGGAGCUUCUGACUUCUUAAUGUUGCGCUGGUAUCUGCGUUGAUUAGAAUCAGAACCUUUUGGACGCAUCCUUUCUGAGUGGCAUCUGAUCAUUGAAUAUUUUAUAUCUGAUGUAAUUUUCUAUCUGAUGUAUGGUCAGAGUCCUGCACACUAAGAAAAAAAAUCUCGUUAGAGUACCAUUUUUGUUUCAUCCUUUGUUAUCAUCAAAAUCUUAGAGAUAUAUUGUAGAACCAACUUUGUUCUUACAGUUAUUCCUGAAAGAGUUGACUUAAGAUCCCCCACUCAAUGGAGACCCCUUUGGAGUUACUGGUGUCACACGAGUAAGUCGUGGAUUAGCACUACAUUCUCUAAUCUAGGAGUCCGAGAAGCUGAGGACCGUAGAACAUUUAACCCAACUUGGCUUAUUUAGGAUGUAGUGCGAAGGUUGUUCAAGUGUGGACUUGAUAACAAUUGUUACACGAUACUACACUCAGACGAGUUUCUCUUGAGAGUACUAUGGGUUGAUGAGUUAGUCAUCCAAACCUAUAGUAUCCGAUAGAUGGGAUCACGACUCUGGGAACUUUUUAGAACAUGCCCUACAGGUUUUUAUACUUAGUACACUCUUUUGGGAUGGCUAUUAACCCGACUCCAUGCUCAUGACUCGCAAUAAACCCUUUGAUUCUUGGUUGAUCUUAUCAGUUACCGUCAAUAUGAUUGGAUCUUGGGUGUUGAUAGGGUGAAAACCCUAAUCCACCAAAAUGGAUGUUUGAUCUUGAUGAUGACUUAAUUCAUCCCUUGACCUUUGUUUGUGUUUUCCUUGUGUGUGAUCCCUUGUGUGUGAUUGUUGCAUUCAUGCAUACAUGCACAUCAUAACAUUUAUCACAAAAAUAAAUUUCAAGGAACUAAUGUCGUGUUUGCAAAUAUUUUCAAACUAUGGAUUAUGGACAAAGGAACACUAAGAAAUAUGGUUUCAGAUGUCCAGAUUUGAAAGAGUUAAGGAAGCUAGCAUCCUUUGUAGUUGAUCCCGUGGAUUUCAAAGGACGUCAUGGGAAGCUUUUGUCUGUAUUAUCUACCAAGGUUGUUGAAGGAAUCUUGAGUGUGCUAGUUCAGUUCUAUGAUCCUCUCUACCGGUGCUUCACUUUUCCUGAUUAUCAGCUCAUGCCUACGUUAGAGGAGUAUGCCUAUCUCUUGGGUAAACCCGUAUCUGACAAGGUGCCUUUCAGUGGAUUAGAGGAGAUUCCGAAAUCUCAAGUCAUAGUUGAUACUCUUCAUUUGAAGAAAUAUGAGAUUGAUGCAAAUAUGACGAAGAAAGAAGGUAUUUGAGGUCUGACUUCUGAGUUUCUGAAUGUGAGAACUAUCACUUUUGCUCAAGCUGGUAGUCUGGACACCUUCGAGGCUAUCUCCAUGUUGCUUAUCUAUGGUCUAGCUUUGUUCCCUAACAUUGACAACUUCGUCGAUGUUAAUGCCAUUAGAAUUUUCUUGAUUGGGAAUCCUGUUCCGACUCUGUUGGGUGACACAUAUUUCUCUCUACAUUUAAGGAAUUCUAAGGCUAGUGGAACUAUUGUGUGUUGCAUCCCUCUUCUGUACAAGUGGUUUAUUUUGCACUUUCCUCAAACACCAGUCUUCUUAUAGAACAAGCAAUGUCUAUGGUUGUCCCAAAGACUUAUGUCUCUCACUAAUGAUGAUAUUACUUGGUAUGAUCCUACAUUUGAUGGCUUGAAUAUUAUUGAUAGUUGUGGUGAAUUCUCUAAUGUGCCUCUAAUGGGUACAGAAGGAGGAAUCAACUACAACCCUGCUUUGGCUCAUCAUCAACUUGGGCUCCCCUUGAAGGAUAAAUCUAAUAACAUUCAGUUAGAAGGUCUAUUCUAUCAAGAGGGUAAACAUCCCAAACACUUGAAGGGUGGGAUGGUGCGUGCUUGGCAUAAUGUCCAUAGAAAGGGAAGAGACAAGCUUGGACCGCACAAUUGUGUAGCUUUGGAACCUUACACUAGUUGGGUGAAGAAGAGGGCCUUGGAGCUUAUGAUGGUGUAUGCUUGUGAAAGACCUAUGUCUAUGGUUGUGGUUGGGCCAUCAACUCUCCCUAACCAAGAUGUAGAGGAGUUGGAAGACGCAUUAGCUAAGAUGAAGCAAGAGAAUGACCUUUGGGAAGAAUGGUUCCAUGAUUUUAAUCGAAAGCAAAUGGAGUUACAACUUGAGUUGAAAGACAAGUAUGCACUUGUAACGGUAAAUUCAUGACCAUCAAGCUAUGGAUAAACUUGACGUCAAUAAAACCAGAGUCGCCACAACGAUUUCAUUGUUUCCAAAGGAAAAGGGCAAAAGUACGAACAAAACCCAAAGAUAAGAAGUUUUCAAAUCAAAACUAAUAAAAUUUCAGAGAUUACAGGUAAGGAGGUUGGUUACACAGAGGAAAGGUGUUAGCACCCAAAGUCUCCUAGGUACUCAUAGGGAGCCCUUUUUUGUAUGCAAGUGAUUUGGUCAAAAUGAUGUUUGAUAAAAAAUAAAGAGUGAGUGGAUGAGAAAAGAAUUCAUUAAUUUAUAUUUUUGUGUUUGACAAUACCUUCGGUCUUAUGCCUAUGUACCAACAUAAAAAUGAGGGAUCAAAACCCCGUAGUUCGUGGUAAAAAUUUCAAAGAAGUUGGUGAAUUGAUUUUAAUCAAAAGUUUAACAAAAAAAGACACAAAAGGCCAAAAAUUUGAAUGGGGUUGUUAGUUCUUUUUGUCUUUUUGAUAUUUGAAGUCAAUAUGGUUAAAUUCAUUCACAAGUUUGAUUAAGAAAAAGUUUGAAAAUUCAUUGACAUAAGGUCAAAGUUUCUAAUCAUUAAAACAUGUCUAAUUUAAAAAAACACAAACAAAUAAGGUUUUUAAAAAGAGAGAAAGAUUUUGAAAUUUAAGAAGUGGGAGGAGAUGAAGGGACUAUCCUAUACAAAAAUUAAAACUUAAGGGUUAAAAAGAUCUGACCAAUGGGAUGCAAUCCAACAGACAAGAAUGUCAUAUAGAAACCCAUUUUCCCUUGGACUUUAGCAAGCAACAAGCAUAACAAUUAUACAUGCAAACCAUAUGAAGAUCAAGGCAUCAAAUAAAGAUAACCAUAAUAUCCAAGCAAGCAAUCCAAUAACUGGAAUCAAAUGAAAGGUACAAGAUAGGCUAACUCAGUCUCAGAUAGUGGCAUUGACCAAGUCCUUAAAGCAUAGGGAAGUUUCUUGUCCUAAGUCCAAAAGUUCAAAUCGAGUCCAACGGUCCACCAACAUAUUUUUUUAGGGUUUUUGUUGUUAUUAGGUGUUUUAAGGUCCUAAGACCAUAAGCAAAAAUAAAACAAGAAAACAAUGUAUACAAUCACAGGAUAUGGCUCAAGUGAGAAAAGUGAAAAGGACUGAAACAUGAACAAGUUGCAUGAAAUGAAAAUGGCAAAAGAAUGAUAAAUGUACUGAAAUUUAAAUUGCAUUAAGUAAAUGACUUGAAAGUAAAAAAAUAAAAAUAAAGAGUUAGUCAGAUGUUAGUGAAGAAUUUAAAUUGUUUAAGUCAUUCUUUGUAGAACACUCAACCAUUCAUUCACAAGUAUGAAUCCUUGAACGAAGACAUAAUCCAUUAGAAGGGCUCCAACUUGGAUAAUUCAACAAGUAUGUCACCAGCUCUCAUGAAAGGAAAAAGGUCAAGUCUUCACACAAUUCCAUGAAGAAUGGGAGACUUACAAUCUCACUUACUAGAAUGAUAUGCCUUCUUGAUCAAAUGUAGCUCUAUGUUAAGCAAUCGUAAUUGGACUUAUGUAGAAUUCAUAACUAUCUGAGGUUGGGAAAUAAAAAUAUAGGUGUUAAUACAUGUUAGAGAUUUGGUGCAAAGAACCAAACUCCUAAAACAUACCACACACUAAAAGAAAUGGGGAAGACCUAUCUCAGUCUGGCUCAUGUUGAUUCAUCUGACAUAAGGUCAUUGAUGAAUCAACUAGAAUUAGACAUGAAGAGAUUUGAUUGGUCAAUUAUGGAUUGGGGAAGAAUAGAUAUGAAGAUGAAGAGGGAAGGGGAAAUAGAAACCUAAAUUGAUUAGAGAAGGAAAUUCAUCUGAUCAAUACUAUUCAUUCAUUUUGGGAGAUGAAAUGCACAUUUCAUCAAUCCCCUAAAUCCAAUAGUAUUGGUCAAACAAAAAGUCAAAUCAACCAUGAUCAAGGCCAAAUAGAAAGUCAAACAUCACAAGACCAUAAACAUGGCUCAACAUAAUUUUCAAGCAAUUAUUCAAUUAAAAAUCAAAUUAAAAAUGAAUUAAAAUGCAUUUUAAAAUGGACAAAACCUCAAAUACCUUCAAAACACCAAAUAAAUCGCCAAGGGAUUUAUCCUAGCUGAAACAAGGGUCAAAGGACCUUAAACAAAAAACUUCAUGAUUUUUGGAAAGUCAGAAGUAUUUUAAAAAUGUUUAAAACAAGUCAAAAAUCAUUUAAUUCAUGAAAAAUAUCAAAAUUAAUCCAAAAAAUGAUUUUAAUUUAAAAUAUGGAAGAGGAAAAUAUUUAUAGAUUUUUGGUGAAAGUCCCAUAUUUUUUGGAUUAAAAAUGAAAUUAACAUAAAUUAAACAAAAUAAAGGGAUUAAAUGAAAAAUCAAAAUAUAAAAGAAAAAUAGAAAAAACGAGGGCCAUCAAAUCUCCCUCAUUAAUUGAGGUGACAUAUCUGAUGGCCAAGCGCAUGCGUUUUAUGGUAGUCUUCAGUCAACGCGUCACAGCGGCUCAGAUUAAAACGUUUUAAACAAAUCAGAUGGCCAGGAUGCACGCCAGCACAUCACCGGAGCCCUAGCUCCGGUGGACCUCGCCGAACUGGUCCACCAUCAACCAUCAAUAAAAUGAAAAUUAAGGACACUAUUUUAAAUAGAAAAAGCUCAGGAGCUCGAAUCUGGCUUCAAUUUCACCUAAUUCCAAAUAUAUUGAGAGAUAUGAGGAAUUGAAUUUUGAGGUACACGAUCUGAGUUGUUUCGAUUUGACUUCAAAGAAACUCAACCUUGUUGCCUAUAUUGAUAGGACUUCAGACAACCAAUAAACAAGAAUAAUGAUGGAGAAUUGAGAGAUAAUCGAAGAGUUGAAGUUUUGCGAAAUUCACCUUCGGGUAGCAGUGACUUGACUGGAUCUUGAUGCAAUUAAACUUGGUUCUUUCUCCUCUUGCUUGCAGUUAUCAAUUGUGAUGAAAAUGGUUAUGAAUUCUUGGAGUUUAAAUCCUGGGGAAUUCAAACUCAAUUUCAAAGAAAUCUUCAAGAAAUUCUCUGGAGUAGGGUUCUGAGUUUGCUUGGCAAGGUUUGGGUCGGAUGUCCCUUCAAUUUUGAGGCAAUGCACUUGUUUAUAUAGGGCAGGGAAAUGCUUUCUACACCAUUUAAAUUUUGAGCCAAAAAUAGAAAUCCAAGUGCAUGGAUGCAUGGGCACGUGCUAGGAUCAAGAUGAUCAUUGCAAUUCAUUCCAAUUCGUGCACAAAUUUUAGUGAUGUCACCACAUGGAGCCAUGCAAAGCUAAAUGAAAAUUGCAUUCAUAUGUUGCCAAAACAAACCAUGAGAAGAACCCAUGCGCAAGUCCCUCAAUUAUUAUCCAAAUUGAGUGAUCUUGUAUGCUUUAGAAAGGUGACAUCAAUGGGAACAACUUUGAUGUUGAAUACUUUUUCAUUUGGGACUUGGAUCAUGAUGAAGUUUGAGGUGGAAGUUUUAGAAAUCAAACAUGGUUGAAAAUUUUCUAAGUACCAAGUCAAAUAACCACUUCUUCCACCUUGAAUAACUUUGGCUAUGAGCUUCAAAUUAAAAUAGUUCCUUCAUCAAAGUUAUAUCUCUUUCAUUCCUAUUAAAUUUGGUCACAAAUUUGAGACCAUUUGGAUUUGGCAUGAGGGAGUUAUGGAUUUUAGAAGUUGAGGAAAAUUGCUUGUUUAAUGGUAAUGGUCCAAAAUGACCUAUAAUGUUUCCUCUUGGCACAUGCCCUUGCAAGUAGGUUUUGACAUUUAUCAAAGAAUCAAAGUUGGAUAGUAAAUAUUUAAAUUUGUCAUGAAACUUUUAUGGCCUUCAUUUCAUAAAUAUUGAGCACAUUAUGGUUCUUGGGAGUUGACCUCCUAACUAGGGCACAGACAAAAUGACCUAUAAUAUUUCACAAUAAAAAAUGACUUUCCAAGCAACAUUAUCUCUUAAUUCCAACAUGAAAGUUAUUUGUAAUGUCAUAAGGAGUAACUUUUCUCUUGGAAUCAUUUUCUUAUGACAAAAAUUGAAGGAGAUAUGGUCUAAGGAACCCUAAUUUUGACCAUUUGACUUUCUCUGGUCAACUUCUUUGAACCAACUUGCAAACUUGAAGUUCUCUUGAUUUUUUGGACUCAUUUAGGAUCAUAUAUGCUUGAGAUUACAUAUAAUUAAGUAUCCCUUGAUAUCUUUGACCAAUUGAUGAAGAAGCUUGUUGAGGAAGUCACACAAGAUACCCCGAUGAAUUAGGGCUUCCAAGGAAAACAUGCUUCAAACUCUUGAUGAAUUCUUGAUCAAAAUGGAAAAUAAAGAACAUGGGGAUCCAUAUAUGAUGUUUAGAGCCAUUGUGAACCUUUCCUUGAUUGAUCUCUUUCAUUGAGGGUCUCAAACCCUAAGUAUGAGCUUGAUGAGGCACAUGUGGACAUACACACUACCUACAAAAGAAACAAAGCUACACAUAGACAUAUUUUUGGUAUUUUGGUUAGUAAACAAAAGAAAAUAAAGUAUGAUACAAUCACAAAUGUGCUUAGGGAUCUCUCCCAAUACAAACCAAAAUGAAUUAGAGGUAAGGAUGAUGCCAAGGUGUGAUCCUAAAGCCAACGAAAAUGAUGAGAUAUCAUUAGGGAUCUUAGGGUCAAAAUUGGGGUCUUUUAGCUUCCCCUAUUUAAGGAUAUUCUAGUUGAGGAUGUGAAGGUUAGAAUCUUCGUAUCAACUCAGCAGAAUGGACUUAAAUAACAACAUCUAGAAACAAAUUUUGGUCCCUAAGAGACCUCAUGAUGCAUAUGUUAUGAAUGCAAAAAUAAUAUUUAUGGGGAAUAUGUUUCCAUAAAGGAAAAGAAUUCGGAGAGACUGAAAGUCCAUAAGAGCAUAAGGCAUUCCAUAAGGAAAGACUCACUAGGGAGAUAGAGACUCUGGGGAUGAAAUUUAUGCGUAGGCCAGGCUACGUCUUGAAAACUGCUGGAGACGCGAAGGGAUUUUCCAUGAAAAUAAAUCAGUGGAAAGAAUUGGUUGGGGAAAAGGAAAUCUGCAUGUAUUGGGAUAACACCAAUACAGCAAACAACACCCACUAUAGAAAUGCGUAAAUUAGAACAAGGCUGAAAUAUUCACGCAAAAAGGGAUUCGAUUUCUCAAAGAAAUACGAAACCAAACUCAACUGGGGAAGAAAAACUUCAACACAGGAGUAAAAGAGAUAUAUUAUCUAUUAUCGGUUACUGGGUAAGAAGAUAAUACACUCGGACAGAGAGACAUCCAUUACUGGCACGGUGGAACGCGUGUUUUUGGCCACUUGAUCUACCACCUCAAUUAAUGAGGGAGAUCAAGUGGUCCACGUUUUUUCUGAUAUUUUAAUUUUCAUUUUAAUUGCAUUAUUUUCAAUAAUUCAUAUUAAAUUCAAUAUUGAUCCAAAAUAUAUGGGACUUUCACAAAACAAAUUCAAAUAUUUUUCUCUUUUAUAUUCUGAAUUAAAAUUAUUUUUUGGAUCAUUAUUGAUAUUUUUCAUGAAUUAAUUGAUUUUUCAUUUGUUUUAAUUGUUUAAAAAUAUUUUUAAAUGUCCAAAAAUUAUGAAAUUUUUUCUCCAAGGUCCUUUGACCUUGUUUGACCUAUGAUAAAUCUCAUGGCCAUUUCUUUGGUGUUUUGAUGAGAUUUUAGUUCCAAAAAUUAUGAAAUUUUUUCUCCAAGGUCCUUUGACCUUGUUUGACCUAUGAUAAAUCUCAUGGCCAUUUCUUUGGUGUUUUGAUGAGAUUUUAGGAAUUGGACAAACCAUAUUUUAUUUAAAUCCACUAUCUUAGUAUUUUUAAUUUGAAUAAAUGCCAAAUCAAUUUGUUGACCAAUUGUGAUGACUUGUUUAUGUUUAACUCUUGUUGUUGGGCCUUGGUCAAGGUUGAUUUGACUUUGUCAAAUUAAUAUCAUUGGAUUUAGGGGAUUGAUGGACUGUACAUUCCAUCUCCCAAAAUGGAUGGAUGAUAUUAAUUUGGUAAAAGUCCUCCUUUGACCAAUUUGUGUUUUGAUCCAUUCCCCUCCCACAUCAUCUUAUUCCCUUUCUUCAGUCAUUCAUUCCAUUUGGCCUAUGACAUCUCAAAGUCCUAAUGCUAGUUGAUUGAAAAAUUGACAUGAGUAUGGAUGAGAUUAGGCCACACCUUUUGCAUAUUCUUUUUGUAUGUGGUAUGUUUCAUGAGCAUAGUCCAUUAUACUAUGUCUUUAACAUGCAUUAACACCAAAAUUCUAUUGCCCGACCUCAAAUAGUUGUGACUUUUACAUAAGUCCAAUUACGAUUGCUUAACAUAGCAUUAAAUUUGUGACAUAAAAGGCAUAAGCAUUCUAGUUAUUGAGAUUGUAAGUCUCCCCUCUUUCAUGGUAUUGUGUGGAAACUUGGCCUUCUUUCCUUCCUUUGGAAGAUGUUUUGGCUCAAGGAUUCAUGCCGUUGCUGAAUAAGUGAGGGGUUGUGUUGUUCUCCACAGAAAUGUCUUGAAAUAAAAAGAAAAAGGCAAAACAAUACUAACGCUCUAACCAAUUAACUUACUAACUUUAAAUUUCAAGCUUUUACUUUUAAUGGCAAUUUACUUUUUAGCCCGUGCUCUAAUUUUCAUUUGCCAUUGUUCAUAUCAGUUCUAAUUGUUUAUGUUAAUGCAAUUUUCACUUUGUCCACUUGGACCAUAUUGUGUGAUAUAUCUUGUUUGUGUAUACUUUGCUUGUUUGUGUGGUCUUUGACCAUUAAUGUACAUAAUAAUAACAAAAAAACCCUAAAAAACUUUUGAGUGGACUGUUGGCUUGAUCUUGGACAAAUGGACUUAGAAUCUAGGCAACCUUCCUAAGCUAAAGGACUUGGCCAAUGCCAACUUGCUGAGAAAUAAAGUGCUUGCAAUUUGAACUUCAUCUGAUACAUCUUUGAAGACAUCUCUAAGUUCAUUUGCAACAUGAUCAUUGUGAAGCUGUUAUUUUGAACCUGUGACUUGUGGAAUUCAUUUGUUACAUGGGUUACUUUGAAGAAGAUCAUGAAUUGGAUAAGCUUGGAUGGGGCCAUCUUUAUUUGAUGCCUUGCUCUUCAAAAUAAUAUAGUUGUGCAUUUGUGUGUUGCUUGAUUCUAAAAGUCCAAAGGGAAUUCUGGGUUUCUAUUGACAUUCUUGUCUAUUGGAUUGCUACCCACUUGGUCAGAUCUUUUCAACUCUUAACUUUUAAUUUUAUGUAUAGGAUAGUCUCUUCAUCUUCUCUCCAUUUCUUUAAUUUCAAAAUCUCUCCCUCCAUUUUUCAAAAUCUUCUUUGUGUGAACUACUUUUGUUCUAAACUUUGACCACUUUUGCAAAAAAGAUAGAAACUUUGGCCUUAUGCCAUUGCAAUUUUCAAACUUCUUUUCUUAAAUCGAACUUGUAAAUAGAUUUAACUAUACUUGACUUAAACUUUCAAAGCCAAAAAGAACUCACACAUUCAAACCAUUUUUAGGCGCUUUGUGCCUUUCAAACCUUAAUUUUUUGUUAAAAAACAAUGCAAUCCAUUUUGAAAUCUUGUAAUCAACGAACCUACGAGGUUUUUUGAUCCUCCAUUUUUAUGUUGGUUAUGAUAGGCACAAGACCAAAGGUCUUCUCAAAACACAAAAAUAUAAUUAAUGAUUCUUUUCUCAUCCCCCCCAUUCUAUUUGUUUGUCGUAACAUCACUUUAAAUACCAAGUCAUAUGCACACAAAAAGGGCUCCUAGGCAGUACCUAGGAACACUUUGGUGCUAACUACCUUCCCCUCUGUGUAACCAACCCCCUUACUUGUGAUCUCUAACUUUUUAUUAGUUUGAUUUGAAACUUCUUAACUUUUGGGUUUUGUUCGUACCCUUUUUCCCUUUUCCUUGGAAACAAUAAAAGUGCGGUGUCUACUCUUGUUAUUUUAACUCUCUAGCUUGACAAUAGCUUGAUGAUCAUGAUUUCCCACUACAGAAAUUAAGUGGAACUCGCUGGGGAGCUAGUCUCCAGUGGUUUAGUUUGCCUCUUUUAUGUGUAUAUUUGUAUAUAUGUGAAUGUUGUAUAUAUGUAUGGGUGUUGGAUAUAAUCUGCUUUGUUGUGCUUGGUGAUCUCCUGAGGUGGUGAGGAAUAAGUUCUAACCACCAAAGCUUUGAGUGGCAAUUAAGAUUAGGAGGAUGGUAUAGUCAUGUUUCGACUUGUGUGGAGUAGUCCUUAACAAGUUUGGCUUGAGAUCUAUCUGGCUCAAAGUGGAGACAUCCUUUUGGAUUUGGAAAUGUCAAACACAAGUAUUGUGUCUGUUAGGCCAUUCCUAUUUUCUAAAAUUGGGUUCCGAGAAGCUGAGGACCUUGGAACAUUUUAACGCCAUCCUUGGCCCUAUUUAGGACGUAGUGCGGAAACUGUUCAAGUGUAGACUUGAUAACAGUUGUUACGCGAUACUACACUCAGACGAGUUUCUCUUGAGAAUAUUAUGGGUCGAUGAGUCAGUCAUCUUAACCUGUAAUAUCGGAUAGGUGGAAUUAAGACUCUGGGAACUUUUUUUAGAACAUGAUCUACAGGUUUUUAUCCUUAGUUCACUCUUGUGGGAUGGUUCUUACCCAGCCUCCAUGCUCGUGACUCACAACAAACCCUUGAUUCACGGUUGAUCCAAUCAAGUCUUGUCAAUAUCAAUGGAACUUGGGUGUUGAUAAGUUGUAAACCAUAAUCCACCAAAAUGGAUGAUUGAUCUUGACAAUGACUUGAUUCAUCCCUUGACCUUUGUUUGCCUUAUGGGUGAUCCCUUAUUUGUGAUUGUUGCAUUCUUGAUUUCAUGCACAUCAUAACAUUCAUCACACGAAAAUUUCAAGGAACUAAGGUGUCAUUUGCAAAUAUUUUCAGACCAUGGAUUAUGGACGAAGGAACACUAAGAAGUACAAUUUCAGAUGUCCCGACUUGAAAGAGUUAAGGAAGCUAGCAUCUUUUGUAUUAGAUCCCUUGGACUUCAAAGGUUACUCUACUAGAAACAGGUAUCCCAAAAGAUGAAAUACUCCUCCAAGGUAGGCACAAGCUGAAAAUCUGGGAAGUGAAACAACGGUAGAGAGGAUCAUGAAACUGCACUAGCACACUCAAAAAGUCCUUCAACCACAUCAGCAGGACAAAACGGACAGAAGCCUCCAUGACGUUGUUUGGUUGAAGGCCAAGGGAAUCUAAUACAAAAGAUGCUAGCUUCCUUAACUCUUUCAAGUCGGGGACAUCUGAAUUGUUACUUCUUAGUGUUCCUUCGUCCAUAAUCCAUGACGUCUGAAAAUAUUUGCAAAUGACACCUUAGUUCCUUGAAAUUUUCGUUGUGGAUGAAUGUUAUGAUGUGCAUGAAAUCAAGAAUGCAACAAUCACAAAUAACGGAUCACCCUAGGCAAACAAAGGUCAGAGGGAUG